UGGUAGUUUGAUGGUUUAAUCCCACAGGUUGUAUCUGCGACACCAGCACUUUCAGAGGAGAAAACUGAAGAAUCAGUUAAGGCAGAAGAGACUCCUGUGGAAGAGGUGGCGGCCGCACCACCUACACCAGAGCCUGUUGCUGAGGAGCCAAAGGAAGCAGAAACUGCAGCUGUGCCCGAGGAAUCUGCGGCUCCAGAAGCUGAAGCCCCUGCUGAUCAGGAUGAGACCAAGGAGGUGGUAGAACAAGUUGAGGUUGAGACCAAGGAGGUGGUGGAAAAAACUGAUCAGGCUGUGGUGGAAGAACCAGCGGUAGAGAAGACAGAAGAGGUCCCAGAGGAGACUCCUGAUCAGGAAACAAACAGCCCAGUUGUGGAGGAAACCAAAGAAGCUACAGAACCAGCUGAGGAACCAGCACCAAAACCAGAACCAGCACCUGCAGAUGAAGCUCCAAAAGAAGAAGGUCCUGCUGCAGAAGAAGAAGAGAAACCAGCUGAAGCUAAAGUGAAAGUUGAGACAGAUGAGAAGGCUGAGUGAUGAGUCUAUGAGUGUAUGGCCGAGUGAAAUUAAAAGUUUGUGUGAUGAGGGGUCUGCUAGGUUGCAUGUCUAGUUAAAGGAGUAUUAAUUUUCUUAGUAUAAUGAGGAAGGUUGAGGUGGAUGGAGCUUGAAAUCAAGGUAUGGGGAUGACCCACAUUGAUCUCUCCAAUGCAAAGUUGGCCCACCUAGUGGGCCAGCUGCAUUGGUACAUAUAUGAAUUAAAUUAAGCAUACUCCAAGCUGCCCACAAGCUUCAUUGGAGGGUGCUUGUGGCGUGUCUUUGCCUCUGUGCAUAAGUAUGUCGAGAGACCAGAUGGGUUAUGUAAUUGUGUGUGAUCAAAUCAUAAUAUAUAUAAUGGCAUCUUUUGGCUUUUGUUUUCUAAUUUUUCCGGGUUAAUUUCUUCUUUGUACCGCAUUCACAACAGCUACUAUAUAUUGUGGUUUGAUGCAUCAGCUAGCGUAGGAUAUAUAGCUCAGCUGGUAUAGCAGACUAAUGAAAAAUCCUUUUGAGUCACGUUAGUGUUGGGACCCAAACUUUGUUUUUAAUAUCUGCUGUCAACUUCUCAACCCACUUGAACUCCUUUUCCUCUUCAUUAAAAGCAGUUAAUCAGAUAAAAACUCAAUAAAGAAUGUGGGUUGCACAUGGUGGUAAGAGAUCAGCAUGAUUCGGAAUCACAUGAUUGUGAGAUGUGAACUAAAACUUUGUGAACUGUAUGGGUCCAUGGAGAUGGAACAUUGUUACAAAAUAUUAUUUAUAUAUAUAUAGCUUUCAGUGCCACGAGGAAACUUCCCAUGGAUCUCCUCAUAGGAUUUGUUUGGUUACCAAGGAAAAAUUAAGGAAAAUAAAAAAAAGAAAUAAGAAAAAUGAUUUUGUCAUGUUUGAUUCUGUUAUUAAAAAAAAAACUCAAAUAUAACAAAAUUAAUUGGAAACUUAUAUAUUUUUAAAUUGUUUAAUUUUUAUAUAGAAUAGUUAAAUAAGUAAAAUGAGUUUGAUUUAGGAUAUACAAAUAAUUUAUUGGCUUGCAAUCUAUUUUUUAUUUUUCUUUAAAUUUUUUCAGGAACCAAACAUAGACAUAAUGUCUAAGAUCAAAAACCAUUGUAAAGGCAAAAAAUGACUCCAACAAGCAUUUUAUAAUUGAUAAAUAGUAUUAGAGUCAAUUCUCGAUUUUGAUGUGAGCCUUUAUCUAACUGGUUUUGUAAAUGUGUGUUUGUUUGGUUUUAUAAUUUUGUGAAAUGCGACGAAGACGUCAUAUCUAUAUAGGGAGGUAAUUGUGAUAUCUUAUAUCAAAUAAGGAAAACGUUGUUGAUACUAUAUAUGUAUGAAUUUCUCAUAAUUAUAUAAAUGUGUUUUAAAGUUCUAAGAACUUAUGAAGCUUAGAAUGAACAACAUUUACAUGUGAGGGAGUGGAUUGUUAUAAAUAAACUAUUUCAUCCACCAGUUUAAAGCUUUGAAGUGGAUUGGUAGCUUAAUAUGAUAUGACUCACAACUCUAACUUGAUUGUUUCCUAAUAAUUGUUGUACCUCACAAGUCAUGUUAAUUUGUUGAUGGCAAUAUCUCGACUUUUAACUAUCAGUGCAUUGUAAAUAUCAGACAUCAUGCCUAGGAGAAAGGUUACAUCCAAUACCAAACUAAUUAUUUAAAUAAUAUGCCCUAAGUUUUUUUUAUUUUUAAGUGUGAAAAUCUCGAUGACUAUUAGAUAGGAACUCUGAAAGUUCAUGUGAAGAGGUUAGUGGAAGAGAUCAUAUUUCUAAGGUUAGAGUCACUGAAGUAGACAAUAGGUAAGAGAAGACCCAAUAAUGGACUUAAUAAGCAUAAGAUCCAUUCAAUAGCCAAGCCGGAGAGUUUGCACCACUCCGAAGUACUAAUAACUAAGUUGAAAAGAGAGUGGGGCAAGCCAUGGACAAAAGUGAAACUAUAGACUACUUACCUACGACCAUAGGCAAUGGACGAAAAACUAACGGAGGGGCCUUAGCCACCGAGGAAGUUAGUGUGUGUAGACCAAAGCUAGUGAAGAGACCAUACAUAGGCCAAUUCCAAGGCCAAGUUGGUUUGAGUCCCGAGCAACCCAUUAUCAUAUCGAAAUCAAAAGUAGUAAUGUUAAUUCACAUAAUAAUAUAAAAAGUCGGAGUAAACAAUUUUUCUUACAAAAAUGAUCAAAUCCAAAAAUUUUAUCCAUCAACAUGUGUUAAAAUUGUCUUUUUUUUUAUAGCCCAUUCAUCAAAUAUUCCUAAAUUUGAAUCUUCCUUGCAUGUAAAAAGGAAAAAACCAAAUAAUUUAUUAAGUAAUUGAAAUAGGGCAUCUAAAUAGUACUCUUAGCCGUCAAUUUACCCCAUGCUACUUUUGUCAACAUUAUAUAAUGUUAAGGCUUGGUAUACCUUCACUAAAUUUGUAGUAGAUUAUAAUAAUGAUCAUGUUGAAAAGAGAGUGGGGCAAGCCAUGGACAAAAGUGAAACUAUAGACUACUUACCUACGACCAUAGACAAUGGACGAAAAACUAACGGAGGGGCCUUAGCCACCGAGGAAGCUAGUGUGUGUAGACCAAAGCUAGUGAAGAGACCAUACAUAGGCCAAUUCCAAGGCCAAGUUGGUUUGAGUCCCGAGCAACCCAUUAUCAUAUCGAAAUCAAAAGUAGUAAUAUUAAUUCACAUAAUAAUAUAAAAAGUCAAAGUAAACAAUUUUUCUUACAAAAAUGAUCAAAUCCAAAAAUUUUAUCCAUCAACAUGUGUUAAAAUUUUCUUUUUUUUAUAGCCCAUUCAUCAAAUAUUCCUAAAUUUGAAUCUUCCUUGCAUGUAAAAAGGAAAAAACCAAAUAAUUUAUUAAGUAAUUGAAAUAGGGCAUCUAAAUAGUACUCUUAGCCGUCAAUUUACCCCAUGCUACUUUUGUCAACAUUAUAUAAUGUUAAGGCUUGGUAUACCUUCACUAAAUUUGUAGUAGAUUAUAAUAAUGACCAUGACCAAUGACUGAAUAGACCUACCCAAUCAAGAUGUGCUUUCAUAAAAAUGCUUUUAUCUUAUUAAAGUGCGUUUGAGAGUGAUUUUAGGAAAUGUUUCUAGUUUUUCUAACAUUUGAAAAUUUUUAUUUUUCAAGUAUUAAAGAUGUUAGAAAUACUUCCUAAAAUCAUUGUAAAACACUCUUAUAAUGCGUUUUAUAGUGAUUUUAGGGAGUGUUUCUACUUUUUUUAACACUUAAAGUUUUUUUAUCUUUCAAGUAUAAAAAUGUUAGAAACACUUGAUGCAUUUGAUAGUGAUUGUGGGAAGUGUUUGUAAUCUUUUUAACAUUUGAAAUUUUUUAUUUUUCAAUUAUUAGAAAUAUAAAAAACGUUUCUUAGAAUCACUAUCAAACAUACACUUUAGACUUUUAUUAAAAACCACCAAUUAAUGUAUCAAUAUUAAAAUUUUUUAUCUUGAUGGUCAAAACUACAUAAAAUGAAGUAAAUUGACGACAUUGUAUUUUAAGUGCAAACAUUUAAUUUUUACUUAAUUACAAAUUUCUUUAAUUAGUAUGUGAUAUCUUGGUAUUAGAAUACCAAAUCUUUCAUACACGAGAUGAUGUAUGUGAAAUAUUAAGUAUAGAAUUUACCAAAAACCCUACAAAUGUAAAAUUAUGAAUCAAAUCCAUUAUGGAACAAACUGAUUAUUUCUAAAAGAAUAAAUACACGAAUUUAUUCGAAUAAGAUAUUACUUUUUCAAUUUUGUAGACUCACAUUUUUUAUAUGCAUUUUCAUUUGAUGUCCUAAAUUGGUUUUAUUGUAAAAAAAAAUUGAUUUUUUAAUUGAAAAUUUUAAAAUUAUCACUUAUUUUAUUUUAUUUUAUUUUUAAAAAAAAAGAAGAGAAAAAUCCUAAGACUACACUUGGUUGAUAUGAUAGGAUAAGAUAUAUAUCUUAUGAUAUUAAAUUCCAUUAUAUAAUAAAUAUAUAUAUUAGGAUAUGAUAUUAUCCUAUUGACAUAAUAUUUUGAAUUCAAUUGGAUAUAUUAUGUUAUAUUAUGUUUAUAUUUAAUUUAUGAAAUGAAUAAAAAAAUGAAAUAUAUAUCAUUUUUAAUAUUUAAAAUAAAAAUUAUAUUACAUUAUAAUAUUAUUCAUUUAAAAAAAAAUUAAAUUUAUCUUAUAUUUAACAAUAUUCAUAAUUAAAAUAUUUGAAUUUGACUUGGAUAUGAUAAUACUUAAACCCACAACAAAGGUGUCGAAUUCUAGUCAUAUUCACCGUGUCAAGCAGUUCUCCAAAUUGGCUCAAGAAGAAUCCAAUACCCGAUUGCCCUAAGAAGAAAUCCGAACCCAGUAACAUAUUGGUACCCAGGCCCAUAAAUGAGCUUGGGCAGUUGUGAAUCAAAGGUAACAACUGACAUACAACCAUGUGCUGAUCCACACCAAUCAGUAAGGAUAGCAUUCAUCAACACUUCCCAACUGUAAUCUGAUAAAUAUUCCAACGGUUUAUAAGCUACCAAAGGGAAAUGGCCUCUCUAUUCUCAAAACCAACACUACAAGCAGGUAGAGAUGAAGUAUAUGUAGCAACAAUGCCUCUAAGAGCCACAAAGGGACCUCCACAGCUGCUUAUGUCGGCCGCUUACUCUCUCAAUCUCUGGGACUUGCAGCACUUCAUGGUCAUCAUCAAACCCUCUUCACCCACUCUUUCUCAGGUCCUCUUUCAUCUCCUCUCCACAUGGGUUUUGCACAUUUUCUUCAAUUUUGGUUUUCUUUUAAUGGGUUUUACUUCUUUUUUAACAUUGGUUUUCGAUUUCAUGAUUGGAACAUAUGAAAUUCUCAGGUUCUCCUCUCAACCCCUCACAGGGGUUCUGAUAGUCUUCAUAUGGAUGUCCUUUUUUUGUUCAAUUUUGAUGCAUAUAUUUAUUUUUGUGUAGGCCUUUGUUUAUGAUUUUCAACCUAAAGAUCCUGAAAAUGUGUAUGUAGCACUUGCAGCUCUGUCUGGUAGGGCAGUACAAGGUGUGCCUAUAAGAAUCUUGAUUAGUUUUUCUUCACUGCAAAAACAAAAACGAGAGAGAGAGAGAGAGAGGAUAUGAACUUAGCCUUAAAUAGUAGAAGGAAGUUGUUUUACCUUUACCUUUCUUAGGUGCUGUUCUUGAGAGGAAGCUCACAAAGCUUCCAAGAAGCAAGUGGUGGUUGAUUGGAUGUUCCAGAGAGGAUGGUGUAGAAGCAGCACAUAGGUUCAACAAAGCCUGGCACACAGAUUUGAAGAUUGGAUAUCAUGACUGUAGGGAUUACACCAAUGGUAGGAAUUGUUCCUUUUCAUCACUUCCUUAAAUUAAUUUAUUUGAUCUUUUUGUUUUAUAAUUUCUGAAAUUAGUUUGUUAUUACUUUGAAGGAUUAGUGGAGUACCUGACUGGUGAGAAACAAGUGUUGAAGCGCCUGAGAAGCAGCAUCAGUAGGUAGACUCAGCUCUGUCCCUGUAUGAGGAUUGGAUAUAUUUUUUUUGCUUCUGUAUAUCAGUAUAUGGCCAUUAUAUAUAUGAUUCUCAAUUUCAUAAAAUUUCAAAAACUUAUAAAAAGCUUCUAAUUUUUUUUUUUUGUUAAAAAAGAAAGUUAAUAGGUCAAUUUCCCUCCUGAAUCAUAAAGCCAUUUUGGGAUUGAUUUUUAGCGAAAGCAUUUUCAUCUACAACAUUUGAGAAUUACAAUUUGUUUGAUAUUAAUUUUAGAAAAUAUUUUUAAUCAUUUUAAAUUUUGAAAUUUUUUAUUUUUUGAAUAUUAAAAAUGUUAAAAACAUUUCACAAAAUCAAUGUUAAACGUAUUUUUAGUAUUUGAAUGUAAAUUAAAAAAAAAAAACCAAAAAAAGUUGGUUUUUAAAACAAUUAUUUAAAUGGGUUGCUUGGGAUAGACGCCUAUAUCCCGUUCUCAUCCUACUUAUAUAAUUAUUUUGAGAUUGAAGAGAGGAAAGACAAUUUUAAGAGAAGAGGGUUAAGGGAUUUGCAAAUUGGAAAAUGGGUUGUGGUUUAAGGGAAAAAGAAAUGGAGAGAAGAGGAGUGUUUGCUAUCGAGGGAAACUUUAAAAUAAAUGUUGAAACAUCUAUUUAUUUAAAUAAUAAAUUGGUAAAUUUACAUCUAAGGUAAGUUGAGGCGAGUUAGUACAAAAUUCAUACCCAUCCUAAACCCAAGUUUUGAAUAAGUCCCCAUACCUGUCCCAUUUUGUAUUAAUAUGUUUCCAUACUCAAUACGGGUGGGAUAGAGCGAGUAACCCGUUUGAACCAAGAAACUGAUAUCCCUAUUCAUGUUCAUAUUAGAGAUAUCAUAUAAAAGGAGAAUAUGUCCAUUGAUCAAAAUGCAAAUCAAAUUGAAUGAAAUUAUAUCUUUUCUUUUUUACUCUCAAAAUUCUAUAAAACCUUUAGCACAAAGCUAGAAUGACAUGCCUAUAAACUUAUCGGGGGUUUGCACUUUGGAAAACAAAGCAAGGUAAAAAUAAAAUAUUUUAUUUAUUUAUAAAUUCAUACAUUUACAUGUGAAUCAAUCUUUAUUGUCAAUAAUGCCUUUCAUGUAUAUGCCCCAAAAUUAUCAUAACAAUUUGGAAAAGGAUGGAAGAGUUUCCAUUGCAAAAAAAUUAUUUUGAUUCAAGUGUUUAUUUGAAUAUAUUUCAUAGUUUUUGUUUUUAAAAACAAAAAAUGAUAAUCUCUUAUAUAUAAAACCUAAAAACUCUUAAAAUAAAAUAUGAUUAAAAAAUUGAAAUAUUAAAAAAAAUUUACUAGCAAAAUUUUGAAAGUAAAUUUUUGAAGAGAUAUGGUAAGUCUAUAUAUAUAUAUAUAUAUUAUAUAUAAAAUUUUUGAAAAUUUUAUUUUUAAAAAGAAAAAUAAGAAAUGGUAUUCAAAUUAGGUACUAUCUUUGAUUUAAAAGUACAAAAAUUUGAAUUAAUUUUAAUGAUUCAAAAUGACAAAAGAAUGGGGCAGCAGCAGAGUGGUUGAAGAUUAGGUUGGUCACCAGUUGACUUCCUUUAAAUGCACAUUUUUUCAAAAAAAAAUUGUAAAAUAGAAAUCUAAAUUUAUAAAAUUCAAACUUAAUACAUUUAACUAAAAAUAAUUAGGAUUUUACACAUUUAAAAAUAAAAUAAAAUAAGCAUCCAAAUGAUCUUCGAAUUAGAUAUUAUCUUUGAUUUGAAAGGGCGAGAAUUUGAAUUAAUUUAAAAAAAUUAUUUUAUUAUUUUAUUUUUUUAAAUGUGUAUACUAAGCACACUUUUCCCUUGUUUUAAAGAGUCCUAAUACCGAUUUCUUAUUGUCCCAACUCCAAGGGGCCGACAAACAUUCGAGAGGCAACCCGAUAGCUCUAUCGGGCCCAAUUCAAGUUGUCCAGGGCCCAAAUCCAGGCCCAUUCCUUGUCUUCAUCCAAAAGUAGCCUUGGCAAAAUACAUCACUUCCCCAAAAUCACACUCAGCGUAGCAAACAAGCGAACCAGAGAAGAGAAGGAAGCCAUUUUUCUCUGCACACAAACAAAAAUGGCGGAACCCAAAACGAAAUAUGAUCGUCAGCUCAGGUACUCUGACAAUGAACUAUUUUCCCUCCAAUAUUUCCGCAGUUUCCGUUUUUGCCAUCUCCUUACCCUAACUCUCUACUCCAAACUCGUGGCAGGUAUGUAUGUAUGUAUUAUGUAUGGAUGCAUGUUGUAUGUAUGGACAUGUAGGUUUUUUGUGUUUGCGUAUGUGGAGAACUUCGAUAAUUUCUUGGACUGAAGAGAGCUCAGAGCUCAGAACUAUGAGUAACUGAUUUUGUUACUGUAGCAUUAUUAGGUUUUAUUUAGCCUCUGUUGAGUUCGAUGGAAAAUAAUUCCGCGGGAGAAAAAUAAAAUGAUUCCUUCUGGCCAAUCUCCAAGAUAAACUAUCCGGUGAAUUGGUGAUGUGUUACAAACUUAAAUGAAAUGCGACAUAAGAAGAAGAAGAGAGGCGGAUGGAGAGAGAAUAGGCAAUCUUAUUGAUGACAAUAUGGAAGAGAGCAGAGCAGAGAGGAGGUGAGCAAUUCACACAAUUUCCACACAACCCUGACCCUUCAUCCCUCUCACACUCAUAUACUAUCUCUAUAACAAAUUGCAACAACUUCUCUAACAAACUCCCGAGAAUAUCGCUAAGCCGCUUCUCAUCAAUCGCACCGCAUCACUAACAUGGUUCUCCUCACGGUGUCGUUUACCAGCUGUUCGCAUCAAUACUCCCUUCUAAGAAACUUCCUUGUCCUCAAGGAAGAAAGCAGGAAACCUCCUCUUCAGAUCAUCUGCAAAUUCCCAAGACGCAUCAGCUGGUGAUUUAUCAACCCAAUGUAUCAGUAAUUGAACAGCUGGGACAUUGUGUCUUUUGACUAAACGACGGUCCAGAAUAGCUUGUGGGAGCAAGGUGGUGCUGGUAUUAGAGAUAGGUAAAGAUGAGCAAGCUUGAAUUGAUGCAUGAGCUGGCUUGAGAAGGGACACGUGGAAUACGUUGUGUAUUUGAGCAUCAGGAGGCAACUGGAGCUGAUAAGCCACUGUUCCAAUUCUGUCUAUCACCUUAAACGGGCCAUAAUAGCGGGGUUGGAGUUUGGGACCUCCUGAAUGCAUACUGACUUGCUUAUAAGCCUGGAGUUUUAUAGCAGCAUAAAGUGACCAUACUUGGUAAGCCUGUCCACAACAACAAAAAUUGCCGUUUUACCAUUAGAUUUGGGGAGGCCUUCGAUGAAGUCCAUUGUGAUGUCUGUGAAGACUCCCUCUGGAACAGGCAAUGGUUGCAGUAAGCCAGAAUAAGGUUUAUUUUCUGGUUUGAAGCGCUGACAUACAGAGCAAUUUCUCACAUAUUCUCGGACAAACUUCCUCAAGCCCUUCCAAUAAACUACUGCAGAUAUUCGCUUUGUAGUCACAUACACGCCAGAAUGGCCUCCAGUUGGCGAAUCAUGAAAGCUGUUUAAGAUCUCUCGUCGCAGUUGUUCAUUGACUCCAACUACCAAUUUCCCCUUUCUCCGAAGUUCCUCUCCUCGCCAAGAAUAUUUAGGAUAAGCAGAGGGGUCUGCUUCCUUAGCCUUAAUGAUCUUCUGUAAUUCAAGAUCUACACCCCAAGAUUCUUUGAUCAAGUCAUACAACUGAGUGUUUAAAAUUGUUGUAGAUAGAACAAACAACUCUGCUGGUUGGAUUCUAGACAAAGCAUCCGCAGCAACAUUCUCUUUUCCUUGCUUAUAGCGAAUUUCGUAAUUGUAUUGCAUAAGCUUGGCAACCCAAGCUUGCUGAGUAGGUGUAGUUACUCGCUGUUCAAGAAGAUAUUUCAGACUCUGGUGGUCUGUUUUGAUUACAAAAUGGCGAUCUACCAGAUAUGACUCCCACUUUUUGAUGGCCAUAAGAAUAGCCAACAUCUCUUUUUCAUAAGUGGAUAAGGUUUGAAACCUGUCAGAUAAGGCCUUGCUGAUGUAUGCAAUGGGAUGUCCUUCUUGCAUUAGGACUGCUCCAAUACCCUGACCAGAAGCAUCUGUUUCUAUUAUGAACUCCUUUGAAAAAUUUGGCAGGGCAAGCACUGGUGCGGUUAUCAUCGCCUGUUUCAAAGCCAUGAAAGCUUGAUUACUUCCCUCUGUCCAGUGAAAAGCGUCCUUUUUAAGCAGAUCUGUCAGUGGCUUUGCAAUUUUUCCAUAAUCCUUUACAAACCGCCUAUAGUACCCCGUGAGGCCUAGAAAGCCACGAAGUUGCUUAAGUGUAAUGGGAGUAGGCCAAUCUCUAACAGCAGCAACUUUUUGAGGAUCAGUAUAAACUCCCCCGCUGGAAAUCACAUGGCCCAGAUACUCAAUACUAGAGUGGCCAAAGAAACAUUUGGUGCUCUUGGCAUAAAGCAAAUUCUCCCGUAAGACCUGCAAGGCAAUACUCAAAUGAUGUAUGUGGUCAGAGAAGCUUCUGCUGUAUAUUAAAAUGUCAUCAAAAAACACUAGAAUGAACUUCCGAAGAUAGGGUUGGAAGAUAUUGUUCAUAAGGCUCUGGAAGGUGGAUGGAGCAUUCGUGAGGCCAAAAGGCAUCACCAAAAAUUCGUAGUGGCCCUCAUGUGUCUUGAAGGCAGUUUUUGGCACAUCAGGUUCAUGCAUUCUGAUUUGCCAAUAGCCAGAGCGUAGGUCAAUUUUGGAGAAAAUUGUUGAACCUCUCAAUUCUUCAAGAAGUUCUUCAAUAACAGGUAUUGGAAAUUUGUCCUUGACAGUAACUUGGUUCAAAGCUCUGUAGUCAACACAUAAUCUCCACGAUCCAUCCUUCUUUUUUACUAGAACCACCGGACUUGCGUAAGGGCUCCUGCUUUGUCUAAUUACUCCUGCAUGUAACAUUUCACCAAUCAGUUUCUCAAUAGCAUCUUUCUGCACUGCAGCAUACCUGUAAGGUCUGCAAUUAAUUGGUCCCGCUUCAUCCUUUAAAUCAAUCUGAUGAUCAUAAUCCCGGACCGGGGGUAAUCCUGUGGGCUCUUCAAAGACGUCCGCAAAAGCCUGCAACAUUUUUUGCAACUCCUCCUGCUGUUGCGGGGUGAGAGUUUCCUCUAAAUGAGUGUUUUCAGCCACCUGAAUAGCCCAGAGAGUGGCAUCUGAAAGGUCCUGUAUUGCAAACAAGCCAGGCUGUUCUACCAAGCCUUUUAGCUUAUCUGCCCAAGGUGACAUCCUCUCCUGAAGCUUAUUUUUGCCCUGCAAGAGAUAUGGUUUGCCAUUUAAUUCAAAACCCAUCUGCAAUGUAUUAAAGUUCCACGAGAUAUCUCCCAGAGUGGCAAGCCAUUGAGUUCCCAAGAUAAGAUCAUAAGUCUCCAGAGGCAGAACAUAAACCUCCGCAAUAAAUUCUUGCCCUUGCAUUCUCCACCUGAAGUCUGAACAUAGGGCUGUACAGUGAAGUUCUUGCCCAUUUGCUACGGUCACCCUUAUCCCUCUAGCCUUCUGCCAACAACAGUCAACCCUUUUUGCCACCUUAGAACUCAGGAAAUUAUGAGAGCUUCCUGAGUCUAUUAGCACAAAUAAGGAGCGCCCCUUGUAAUUUCCAUUCAAGGUCAUAGUUUGUGAGUCUUCAUUGCUCAUAAGAGCAUUAAGAGACAGCUGAAUCUGUUCAUCCUCCUCACCCAAACCUUCCAUUUGUAAAUUCUCUUCAGGCCCCUCACCAUCUGUCUCCACCUGAAUCUGCAUAACAUACAGUUGUUUCCUUUUACAUUUAUGGCCAGGAGUAAAUUUCUCAUCACACCAGAAACAUAAACCCUUAGCCCGACGCUCGUCUAGGUCUCUGUUAGAGAAAUUUCGAUGGUUUCUAGUGGUGAUUCCAGGAUUGGUUUUAGGUAUAUUGGUUGAUGGUGGUAAGGGUAGCAGUCCGGCAUUUGUAGUUUUCGGGAAAGUGGUGUUACUGAGGUUGGUGGCAUUUUGGGAAAUAGAGGUGAUUGGCGUGGCUUUGUGGUAAUGGUUAGUGGUGGGUGAGUAUAGGCUAGGUCCUUUGGAGACUGGUUUUGGUUUGUUCUGCAAAGCGGCUACUGCUAUUUCUUGUAAUCUGGCCAGAGAGUAAGCAUCAGCAAGUGUUUGUGGUUUGAACAUUCGAACGGGCAUCUGGAGUUCAUCAAUCAAACCAGACAAGAAAAAACUUAAGGCGUGGGAUUCUUUGAUAUCAGCUCUAGGAUACAAUUCAUCAAAUUCAUCCAUAUAGCUCUGCAGUGAACCUGUUUGCCUUAAAUUGCGCAGAUCCGCAAUCGGAUCAUCAAAAACAUGUUGCCCAAAUCUAGCAUUCAAAGCAAUGACAUAUUCAGACCAAUCAAGGUAGGCUUCAUUACCUCUCGUCUUAAUAUAACCCUGAUGCCACUGGAUCGCUUUUCCCUCUAAGUGAAGAGCUGCCAGGCGCACUCUAGCUUCCGGAGGAGUCCGAUCGACUUCGAAGAAAUACUCCACCCUAAGUAACCAACCAUCUAAUCCACCUCCAUUAAACUUUGGAAAGUCCACCUUGGUCGAAUGACCGAGUUGAUUCUCCCACCUACGUUCUUCUCCCCUAUUGGUCAUCACCUCCUGGUUCUGAAGGCUCAAGCCUCCGAUCAAACUUUUGAGAUCAGCAAAAGAUUUGACAGCUUUUUCUUCUGAUUCGCGACGCCACAACUCCUGUUUCCUUUCGAACUCUUUCAUCAUCUCAAGCAUUUCGCGUCUGACUUCCUGUGAACGAGUUGCUUCUGCCAUCGUUCCUUCCACAGGCGAAGAAACGUCGGCUCUGAUACCAACUGUUACAAACUUAAAUGAAAUGCGACAUAAGAAGAAGAAGAGAGGCGGAUGGAGAGAGAAUAGGCAAUCUUAUUGAUGACAAUAUGGAAGAGAGCAGAGCAGAGAGGAGGUGAGCAAUUCACACAAUUUCCACACAACCCUGACCCUUCAUCCCUCUCACACUCAUAUACUAUCUCUAUAACAAAUUGCAACAACUUCUCUAACAAACUCCCGAGAAUAUCGCUAAGCCGCUUCUCAUCAAUCGCACCGCAUCACUAACAUGGUUCUCCUCACGGUGUCGUUUACCAGCUGUUCGCAUCAUGAUGCCUAUUGGGCCUUAUGUAAUUUCGGGAAAGUUUUAUGGAAAUUAUUUUCCUAGAAAACAAACGAAUCCUGUAGCAACACAUUAAGCCAAAAUUUCCAAAAAAAAAAAAAAAAAUGGUUCAAAGCUUGUUUCGGAGGCGGUAUUAAAUGGUAGUGUAGCUAGGAUGCUAGUUCAAUAUGUUCUUGUAGCCUUAGGGAUUUUGUUCAAGGUAGGGAACCUAAUCAGAUAACAACUUUCAAAUGAGAGUUCGAGAUUGAGAAAAUUUGAAAAAUGAUUUGAGUUCCGAAUUUGCUUGGUUGGAUUGCUUCUCAAACAGACUCCAUAGCAUAUUAUGUAAAUUGUCUUAAAAAUGAGGGCCAUUUAUGUGAUGCUUCUUUAAGGAGAAGAAAAUCGACCAAUUUGCCUGGCCCAAGUACAUUUUAAAUAAAAGAUUAUUUACCUACCAAUUCAAUUUGUAUGGUACAACAGAUGCUAUGGAUAGAUACAUUUUAAUGAGGAUAUAAGGUUGCCAAUCAGUAUGAAUAAUUCUUUCUUUCAAAUAUUGUAUGAAUAGAAACAUAAAAAACACUUCUUCUUUAUUUAUUUAUUUAUUUUUGACAAAAUCACUUAUUGUUUUUUUCUUUCUUUGGUAAUAUUUUUUGCUUUUUUUGCUUUAACAUCAUUGAUUUUUUAUUUAUUUUUAGAUGAAAAGAGUAUCAUUUGAAGAAUGAAUGGAUAGAUGAUAUGAUUCUUUUUAAAUGAUAGAUGUCUUUGACAUCCAACUGUAACAAUGAGUUGUUAGUCUUGUUUACAAGUUGCUUCAUUGGCAAAGAACAGGAAUGGGAUAUCAACUAACUGAAUUGUUUCUUAGUAAUUGCUUGAAAUGCAAAAUGCAGUUUGCAAUUGGAAGGAAAUUUUCUUGAACAAUGUGAUCAGUUAGACCUAAUUUUCUUUCCCAUAUGAUCGAUGUUGGAAGUUAGUACUUUAAAAUGUGUUUAGACUUCCUUUUUUUGUUUUUUUUUAAUCAUUAAAUAUUUUAAAGAUAUGCAAUCAGUACUUUUCUUGCAUUUAGUCACUUAUAGACUGUUCAAGUACUUUCUAUUGUUAAAAAAAUGAGAAUAUCACAAGUGCAUUUCUGGAGUUUGCUGUUUAUGCAUGUUUAAGAUUGCAAAUUUUUUGUUAAGGUCCAAUUUUUUAAUCUUAAUUCCAGAAUAUGGGGUGAGCAAGGACAAGAAGCCCUCGAGAAAGCCUCUAUAUGUUUACUUAAUUGUGGUCCUACCGGUUCUGAAACAUUGAAAAAUCUUGUUCUUGGUGGGAUUGGAAGUAUCACAGUAAUUGAUGGAUCUAAAGUUGAACUUGGCGACCUUGGAAACAACUUUAUGGGUAUGCUUCUCUAUUCUAGAAUUUUACUUAAUUUUAGUUUUGUGUCCUUAUGUUACAUAUGAUGUUGGUAGUGGAUGAAUCAAGCAUUGGGCAAUCAAAGGCAAAAUGUGUCUGUGCAUCUCUUCAAGAGCUAAAUGAUGCUGUUAAGGCCAAGUUUAUAGAAGAGUAUCCAGAGGCAUUAAUUGAGACAAACCCAUCAUUCUUUUCUCAGUUUACCUUGGUAAUAGCCACUCAGGUAUGGAUGGAUGGUGCCAAUGUUUAACUACAAUUUCUGCUUAUCAUUGUGGGUAAUGGAAAAUAAUGCUACCAAAAAUUUUUGUUUUAUGUCCGUAACUGUCUUUUCUUUUCUAUUAGGAUUUAAUCUCUUAGGGUAUAGAACACGUAUUGGUUAAUUAUGCUGUUCCUACCUUCCUGGCAAACAGUGUUGUGGAAAGAGAACAUACUUAAAACCCAAGGUUGUUGGCAUUGGUUCCUAAUCCUUCAAUAGGAAGAUUCUUCUUUUCUGGUGACUUCAAAUUGUUCUAUUCCUAUUCCUCUUCUUUGUGAUGAACUGCUUUGCUCUCAUUUGUGAUGCAUUAUUAGUAGAAUAAUACCUAGAAGUUUUGGCAGUUCAGGGUUGGGCUGUCUUUUCAAAGGCAUGGAACUUUAUGGACAGGUUCUCAUUUUUGGUGGUUUUUCUGGAAGAUUUGUAUGCAUCCUGAUCUCAGAUUUUUAUGUAGCUUUCUGAGCCAAUUCCCAUUUCCCACUACUUAGAUUGCAUGUGCUCAUUAUGCUCAUGAAUAAUUAGAACAAUAACAACAAUUAAUUUUAUACAUUUAUCUAAUUUAAUAUUUCUUUAAUAAUUUUGUGGCUUGAUGUUUUUUAUCCUAUCCAUAGAGUUCCUUAAAUUUGUAACUGUUAUCUCAGUUGUCUUUAACUGCAAUAUUUUUGAUGGAGUUCCCAUUAUUGCACUUUCAGCUAGUGGAAGAUUCAAUGAUAAAACUUGAUAGAAUCUGCAGGGAGGCAAAUGUUAUGUUGAUAUUUGCACGCUCCUAUGGCCUUACUGGUUUUGUUCGCAUCAGUUUGAAGGUAAUUUGUUACAAGUUUAUGGUCAAAUUUUUUUUUUUCUAUCUUUCCAUUCUCAGAAGCAUGUGUUAGAUUGACAAAUACUACCAUUUAAGAGGGUACUGAGACUCAAGAUUUUGUCAAAAUUUGAAAUCUGGAGACCUAAUUUCACUUUUUCUUGUUUGUGGCAGGAACAUGCUGUGAUCGAGUCAAAGCCUGAUCAUUUCUUAGAUGAUCUCCGGUUAAAUAACCCAUGGCCUGAGCUCAGAGGGUAAGAUUUUUUCUAUCCAUAUUAAUAUUUUUUAUUGACUCUGUCUGUGCAUGUCUUCUUUUUGUAUAUUUAUUAUUAUUACAGGUGUGUAUUGAACUUGACAUGUAUUUGCACGACUCUAGCUUUCUAUCUUGUACCCCAGAAAGUACCUGGAGUUUUAUAGUAGAAAUUCUGAUUGUGUAUCAACCAUAGGUUUGCAGAGACCAUCGAUUUAAAUGUGUCAGAUCCUGUUGUCCAUAAGCACACACCAUAUGUUGUUAUUCUUGUCAAGAUGGCUGAGCAGUGGACCAAAAGUCAUGAUGGCAAGCUUCCUUCAACCAGGGAAGAGAAAAAGGAAUUCAAGGUUUCCACAUCUAGUUCCAUAUGUUUCUGCUUUCUUGUUUUGUUGCCGUAUAGUUAUAUGGUUUAGUUGACAUCUUGAACAUUUAGGACCUUCUCAAAUCCAAGAUGAUUGCAAUGGAUGAAGAUAACUAUAAAGAAGCUAUUGAGGCCUCAUUCAAAGUUUUUGCCCCUCGUGGAAUUAGUAAGUGUACUUUUCUUAAGCAUGAGUAGUAGCUUUCUUUGGACAAGACUCUCUCUGGCACUUGCAUCUUGAAAUUGAUACUGCAUUUUACAAUUUGAUGAACUGAGGUUUAAAAUUAACACACUCAUCCAAGGUUCUAUGGAUGGUCAUUUCUGUGCAAUGGUCUGUCUAGUGGGUUCAGUAGUUCAACAUGUCAAACCAUGAUCUAAAGUUAGCCAGGACUCUAAAGUUAAAACAUUGGUGCAAGGCUCUAAAGAUGUCUAUACUUUUUAAUAAUUUAUUUUACUUCUAGCCAUUUCAAAUCGUUCGGUAUUUGGCUAAGCUAAUUUUUGUCAGGACUGAUCCUAAGUUCCCAAAAUUUAGAUAGAAUAUUGUCCUUUUCACUUUUAGUUCAAUCCCUCUUGUAGUACAAAGGCAAAUGUGCUGGCUAUGAUCCUUCUGAAACAAUCUGUUUGUGCAUAUUUAUGUUUGGUGAAGCCUUUGACAUGAUUUUUUUUAUAAGAUAAAUUUCAAAGUUGAAAUUCGAUUACGUUGGAUGCAAAUAAGGGGCUUUUUUGUGCAUCUUUAUGUUGCAACAGACCUGGGUGAUUGAUUUUAACAUUGGCUAUCUUUCCAGUUUGCUAUAUCUAAAUUGGUAAAAUUUACACAAAUGAAGGCUAUUAGUGUUGUUUUGUGUGGAGCACCAAGUGAAUGAAAACUGUCAAUUAUACUUGUAAGGCUUCAUGUACAAUUAAUUUAUCUUGUUUCCAUUUCCAGGUUCAAAUCUGCAACAGAUAAUCGAUGAUAGCCGUGCUGAUGUUGAUUCUAGCUCUUCAAAUUUUUGGGUGAUGGUGGCAUCUUUAAAGGUUGGUGAUUCCAGAGUGAGCUUGCAUUUAGGAUUUCCAUAAGCAGUGAGAUUCAGUCAUUGUGAUAAUGGCUUAUGUGUACACAACCAAGUUCCUAUUAAUUAUUAUAUGAAAUUUCUGGCGCUGGUAUGUUCUAAAGCUUGUCAUAAUAAUGUUUCUCAAAUUAGUUCCUACUGGGAUUGACAAGGCUCUGCUGCUAAUUGAAAACCAAAAAGUGGGUCUGGCCUGCUAAAUCUUGAUGGCAGGCAUUGUUUCUUGAUCACUUUACUUUGCUUUGCUUUUUGUAUCAAUCAUCUUCAAUUACAUAUUUGUCUCUUCAACUCAGUUAUUUGGUAGAGGUCCUUCAAAAGGUUGGGACGUUUGCAUUAUGCUCAUUUUGUUUUUUCAAUGGUCUGUCCUGAUCAUGUCAUGUGUGGAUCCCAAGGGGAACAUUGUGUGGAAAUUUAUUGCUUCUGAUUUAAAAAAACAUUGUGUGGAAUUGUUUCUCCUUAUUGUGGUAUUUGUGUUUCCUUUGCAAAGGAAACACUAGCUGGGUUUUGUGGUUUAGAUGCUUUGUUAAGUUGCAUGUUUUCUUAUUUUCUUACUUAUCAAAAAAAAAAAAUGUUUGCUUAUUUUCUUUUUGAAAUCUCCCUUAUAGAUCAAUUAAAGAGGUCAACAUCUCUAAUUUUUAUAAAGCUUGGACCACCUUUGUUUUAUAUUCAUAGGCUUCUUGUUUUUUAUUUGCUUUAGAGGCUUUUGGUGUUAGUCUCCUUGGCACCUUUAUUUUUUUUUUUUUUACUUUCACAUUUUCUGCUGUUAACAAAUUCUGUGUUAUUCUUUUGCAAACUUAUGAAGAGGAUCCUAACUCCCAAAUGUUCAUUAACUUUUCUGUGUUUGUGGGCUAAAUUUGCUUGCUCAAAAUGUCUGAAAAACGUGAUCCAUUGAUAUCAAAUUUUGGUUUCCAGACAUCUCCUGGAAGGCACUCCUUCCAGGCUCCAGCCAUCUAUAAAUUGGAAUGCACACAUUUUUCUAGCAUUGACCAUAAAACAUUGAUUAGCUAUUAGUUUUUUUAAAUAUUCUAACCAUCCUUGUUAUUUUUUGAUAGAAUUUGCAUCCAUCCAGCUACAUAUUAUCAUCAUCAUCUACAUUUCCUGACUCACAUUUAACAAAGGGUAUAAUCAUGGACAUUCUUUCUUCACAUUGCAGGAAUUCAUUGCGAAUGAAGGUGGCGGGGAGGCACCCCUUGAAGGAUCAAUACCAGAUAUGACAUCUUCAACCGAGUGAGUGACUCUUUUCUCAAGCAUAUGCUGCCACUUUUGUUUUGUAAAAUGAAAAGAAAAAAAAAAAAAAUCAAUUGGUGAUAUGGCACCUUUAUAAACUCUUUUGUAGGCAUUAUGUAAACUUGCAGAAAAUCUACCAAGCUAAGGCUGAGGCUGAUUUUCUUGUUAUUGAGCAACGGGUUAGAAAUAUACUGAAGAAAAUUGGGAGAGAUCCAGAUAGCAUCUCAAAGGCAAACAUAAAGAGCUUCAGUAAAAAUGCAAGAAAACUAACGGUAAGUGUGUGUUUAAUGAUCACUUUGUUUUCAACUUUGAGAAGAAGUCUUAACAUCAGACCGAUCUUAUACUUGGACCAACUUCAUGUUGUGCUAACCUGAAAAGAAAAACUGUUCUAUGUCCCUUGCCCUCAAAUUUUGAAAAAUCCCUGAUGCAACCAACAAUAUCUUCCUGCAUUGUUCUGGCAGAUAGGAUAGUUUUUGAUAAUGAGGUCCUGGUGGUUCAAAGAUUGAAAAAUUCCUUUAUUUGUAAUCUCUUUUCUUGGGCUAAAUCUUCUAUAGUUGUAGGCCCGUUAACUUUGUUUAACUUUGUGGAUUGGUUGAGUUCUUGUUGAGGGCCGGUGAGGGUUUUUCCCUUUUGUUUUUCUGUUUUUUAGGCGACAAUUAUAUACUCCCUGUAUGCUCUGGGUCGCCUUUCAAGCACCCUUUAUCUAAUUUAUCCUUGUGUGUUUAUCUAUCAAAAAAUAAAAAAAAAAUCUUCCUGCAUUGUUCUGGCAAACUGCCUGUUCAUUGUUGGUGCCAUUUUACAAUUCCCAACAAAUUUCAUAAUUUGCACAUUUUACAUAGGAAACUAUUUGAUAAUUCUGAGAUGUCUUUCCCUGAAGAACCCCAGUUAGGAAUUUCUUGUCAACUCUGUUGGUCAUGCACCUUUUCACCUAAUCCUUUUCCUAGCACCAUAAUUUCAUGCCUGGUAUGCCGUAAAUAUUCAUGUAAUUUUUUUAUGAACACUGUUCUUUUGUUUUUGAUAGGCAAAAUGAUGUUAAUAUAAAUACAUCAAAGAGGGGGUGGACCCUGGUAUAUAGGGAAUGUGCAAGGAGCCACCACCAAAAUAAAACAAGAGCCUAGUACAACAAAUUAGUCCAGUGUUAAAGUAUCAACAAUGGAUGUUCUUCCUUGUUAGCUAAUAGAAAAGAGACAUUAGCUAAAGCUUUUUUAAGUCUUACUGCCUGUAAUUCCAUCGCUUCUAAAAAGCUCCUGUUUUGUUCCUUCAAAACAUCAAAACAAGCUUAACAACAUCAAAUUCUAAACUUUCAUCUGUCCCUUCCCAACAACAUUGCUCUGCCAACCUUCUAGAGCUUCCCUUGCUGAAAGAGACAUCGUCCAUAAUAUGCAAAACCCCCACAAAGAUCUUGCCAUCUCAUGAUGCAGGAGAAUAACAGUAUCCUUUCCAUCAUGCCUUAACAGCACCAGUUUACCAUAGUCCUUCCACUUUGCAUCAGUUGGUCAAUGGUGAGAAUGUUUUCCCACAUGGAUUCCUGACUGGAAACAGUUUACCUUUUAGGACUCUAGAGCACCAAACUAAACAAAACAGGAAGAAGAGGAAAGCCUAUGAGACACCAAUGGGAAAGAUUUGAUCAAGAACUCCCUCUUUCUAGACACCUUCCACCAGAGUGAAUCCUCUUUCUGCUCACUGUUUUUUUAAGCUGUUGAGUCUAAUUAUCCAUCUGCAAGUAUGUCUUCUGUUGCUGAACUAACUGUAGUCCUUAUGAUUUUUUCAAAUAUUGAACAAAAUGUAGGCAUAACAUUGUGCAUUAGCCUGUUAAUUAUCCCAAUUAUAGAACUGGAUAGGCAUUGCUCUAUCAAUCAGGCUUCAACUAACCAUCCGCGUACAAACUUAUAGCUGGAAAAUAGGAAUAUUGCACUUUAGCUCUCCAAAAGGAUUAUGUAGAUAGAGUUUAGAUUAUCUUCAAAAGGUUUCUUCUCAUAAGACAGCAUUUCUUUAUUUUAUAGGUAUGCCGGUAUCGGCUCCUUGAGGAAGAGUUCAAUUCUCCAAUCCAACCAGAGUUGCAAAAGUAUUUGACAGAUGAGGAUUACAGGUGAGGUCAAAGUUAUUUUUUCUGCCGUCAGAUGGUAAUGUAAGUAUGCAUUUUUAUCUCAAUAGCUUUAUAAUCCCAUGUUCAAAUGGGUUUGAGAUCUUCCAGGAAGUCCCUUGUGGAUGAACACAACAUCUCCCAUCUUUCAUCUCUCUCUCUCCCCCUGUUGGUGGAUGGGGUUUGUGGUUUUCUUUCACUUAUGUAGAAAUCGGAAGAAAAUAUGAGAUAUUCAAUAUUUUGUAGCCCUGUCAGCAUAGAUCGUGUUAUUUCUUGAUUCCUUGAUUCUUCAUAGCACUUUACUUGGGGAAGUUGGUUCCUCCGCGACUCUGACUCUGAGCUUGACAUGAACUUGAAUUAUAGCCUUCAGUUUUCUUUCUAUAUUUCUUGCAGUGUUGCUGUGGGGUUUUAUAUUCUGCUUCGAGCUGUCGACAGGUUUGCUGCUAACUAUAACAGUUUCCCUGGGCAAUUUGAUGGGUGAGACCUAAUACUAUCACAGAUGACCAGUUCUUGUUCUUGAAAAUCUUUUACCUAGUCCUCAUGAAACCGUACUCCAUGAGUUAACUUCUUGAUAAUUGCUGCAGUGGGAUGGAUGAGGACAUAUCGAGAUUGAAGACUACAGCUGUUAGUCUACUUAGUGAUUUAGGUUGCAAUGGCUCCACCUUGACAGAGGACCUUAUCAAUGAAAUGUGCAGAUUUGGUGCUGCAGAGCUCCAUGCAGUUGCUGCCUUCAUCGGGGGAAUUGCAUCUCAGGAAGUGAUCAAGGUUUUGUAUUCUUGGCUGUGAUUUGGCUAAAGUUCACGUGCAAGUUUGUGUUACUUGUCAUUUUGGUAGUUGAAGAUGAAACAGUAGAGCCUGUUUGGCAACAUUUUCAAAAGCAGUCCUCCAAAAAUAAUUUUUGAAAACCGUUCUUAAAAACAGUUUUCAACUAUCUUCACCAACAAAAUUCUAUUUGGGAAUGCAAAUAUGAAAAAUGGCUUUUUUUUCUCAAUCUCCUUUAAGGUACUGUGUACAAUACAAAAUUCCCAAAUUAUUCUUCAUAUUUUCUAUUUUUUUGUCAGAAUAGUUUACAAAAACACUUGAAAACAAUUCAAAUUUGUAUAUAACAAAAAAUAUUUUUAGAACAAAUACUCAAAAAACUGUUUUUAAGGCAAAAAUUUGUCAAACAUGUUUUUUAAGUUACAAAACUAUUUUUAAGAACAAUUCUCAAACAGGCCAUUGGUGUCCUACCAAAAAUGGAAAUAAAAAAUUAAUCAUUCAGUGAUGUUCAUAAUCAGCCAUAUCUUCAGUUGCUUGAAAAGAUGACCACUGGAAUUUUGUCAUCAUGAGUAAUUCUUCAUUGUCGUUUUGAAACUCUUAAGGUCUCACUUCUGGUUUUUCCUACAGCUCAUUACAAAACAAUUUGUCCCCAUGUCUGGGACUUUUAUCUUCAAUGGCAUCGAUCACAAGUCUCAGUUGUUGUCACUAUAAUGGGGUUUAAAGCUGGAAGUGCUUCAAAAGCGGUUGGUAUACACUCAUCUCCAUUUGAUCAUAAAUACCUUGCAAUUGUACUCUAUUGAUUGUUGAUGCUCAAGAUUCACCUAUAUGGUUUUGGUUUGCAGUUUUAAGAGUCGUGAUGGCAUGAUGUUACUGGCACAGCUUUGUGAACGGCAGCAUUCUCUACAUCAAUGAGAGGUGGUCUACGCCCAGGUAGUCUGGUAGAGCUCCUGUGAUAUCUACCUUAUUGUACCUGUUCCUUUGAUAAAAGAAAGGAAAAACAUGGAAAAAGAAACCAAUGAGAGUGGGAGAAAAGAAACGAUCCAUGCUGUUUUUAGACAGAUCUAAUCUUCUAGUGAUCUCCAGAAAGAGAAAAACAAUGAAUUGGUUUCACAUUUUUCUGCUGAGGAUAUAAAGCAGUUACAUACAACUAUUCCGACCCCUUUUUUAGCUUCUUUUGGGUUUGUUCUCAGUUGGGCAUCUUUUCUGUGAAAGUCAUGGCACCAAAAAUGAAUAUAGAAACUCCAUAACCCGCGAAUAUGGCUGUUGCCUUGGAUUUGCAAUCAAAGCAAACAGCAUUCGUGGCAACUGCUGAUGCUAAUGGUUCUUUGGUACCUGCAGCUAAUGAUUCUGAUUUUCCCUGUCUGUGAUGAGCUGAGUUCCUUGUGUGUCGUCUGCAGAAAAAAAAUGAAUUUAUUUAUCCUUUGCUCCAUCUCGCCCUUCAAAGCAUCAGUCUAACUAAUGGUGCUUUAUCAGAAAUUAGGCUAAUUUGUCAGCAGCUUAGAGCCGAAUUUCUGAUACAAUGGUUGAUUUGGUUGGUUCAAUAUCACAACUGGGCCGAGAAACAGUGAAUGAGCCCAAUGAUAAACCAUAGAGGCGGAUAUCCAUCCCUCAGCACCAACUUUAUGUUAUCCGUUAGGAUUUCAGGCUGAUUGCACAUAAGCAUAAACCAUUCUUCAUGGGGCUUGUCAAGAGAGGAUACUGUCUGAAUGUGAGAAAUGCCCAUUCAGAUUAGUCUGAUAUUCAUCACAAAUAAUCAAACAAUGUCUUCUCAGAGAAUGUAAAAGAAUGUUGGGAAUAAAAUAACGUUACAACAACAUGGGAGCUUUAGAAUGAGAACCUCCUGUUUACUGAAGAAAGAAGCAAACAAAUCUGUGAUACUAAGUGAUAAAUACUACGCAAUGCAAGCAUAUUCUGUAUUUUCCAGAACCCUGAAUGUGUUCUCUAACCAUUAGCAGGAGCAAAAGCUUUCUUGUCUGGAUUAUAUACGCUGAACUCACCAAAGUCCCUUCUUCCGCUGACAAAAAUAGUGCUCAAUGUCAAAUCCUUGGAACAAAUGAACAAAGAUUCAGUCGCUAGAACAUAACUUCAACAUUUCAUAUAGAACAAAACAGAAGAAUCUAAAAAAAAGGAGUACAGGACAGUCAUUUUCUGGUAAAAAGAUUGAAGAAACCACCGGAAGUACAGUUCAUUGCCUUCUACAAAAUUAUGCCUUGUAUGCACGUGCAAAACUUUUUACUAUUUCAUGGAAUUUGUGAUUCUAGAAACAACAUAUAAUUCUCAAUCAACUUGUGUAACAAUUUCCAUGUUACCCACAACUCCCUUGUUAAAGAGAGACAUAAAUUGCGGACCCAAAUCCUACAAGUUUUUAGAAAAAUUGGUUGUUUAACAUGACAUCCUGCCUUGUUUGGAAGGAGAUCAUGUGUUUAAAUCAAACUGCAUGAUGUUUGUAUCCCCAGUUUAUUAAGUUCAUGUGUAAGCCCAAAAGAGGCUAACCAUGGGCUUGUGUGUCUCUCUACAUGCGGGCAUUGGGUCACACAUAAGGAUGUUAAAAGAAUAUGAUAUACAUUGUAGACCUAAAUCCUACAAGCUUAAGCUUUAAGGAAAAUUGAUUGUCUAACAUCCCCACAUUUCUUGGUUUUUGGGAACUAAACCAAUUUUUUGAGUAUUAGUAGUACAUCUUUUAAUUUUUAUACUACGCAAUUCUUUCAGUAACUACAUAUUUCAUACUAUCAUAUAAUUUAGUUAUUGGAAAUGACAAUGAUGAAGCAGCAUACCUGUGCAUUACAUCCCAGCCAGCAGGUAGGAAACGAGGGUGAAUAGCUUCUACAAAAGUUUGUCUCCACCUCUGGCAAAAUUGACGAAUCCCAUCCUCCCCAUAUUCCUUUAGUAGAUGAUCCACAACUUCUUUCCCAUGUGGUCCAUGUCCUAAUAGUGAUAACUUCGGGUUAUGUUUAGGUGAGGCAUUUCCAUUAGAUUUAGGAUAAAAUAAGUCUAAUGUUCCCUCUGACUGACUUCUACUUUCACAAUUAUCAGUAUCCAUCACACACAUAUCUUUCAUCUCGGACGUUUCACUUCUAUCAGAGCUUAAAUUGUUGCUAUCACUAGCCAAGACUUCCAUAGUAAUCUCCAAGUCAUUUCCAUUUUCUUGUUUACCACAUGCUUCCCCUUUAGUUGUGUUUAAACCACCUUCACCAUCAACUUUUAAUGCAUUAUCAAUGGGAGAUGUGCCCAUGCUUCUGGCAUUACUUUCCUGCUCCUUAUUUGGAAAACCAGCCCCUUUAGAAUGUUUAAGAGACAUCCCUUUCUUCCUCUCAAGUCUUUUUCUCUCAUGAGGACUCAUGCCAACUAGUAAAGCUUUUUCCAAAUCUUCCUCUGUUAUUUCCCUUCCUCCAUAAUAUUUCAUAACAGUCUGCAAAGAUGGUAAAAAAAUCAACAUCAUCCAGAGAGAAGCUCUGAAAGUUCAUAAAUUUAACUUCUUUAAAAAGACUGAGAAACAAAUAAUCUAUAGUUAUGCAAAGGAGAAUUCAAUGGUAGUGGAUUUGCUACUAGCAUGCUGAUUCACUCUCUUAAUAAAUUCAGAGUCAAAUAAAUCACUACAACCAGUUUAUGAACUAAAUAAGUGGAAAGAAACAAAUAAAUCCAGUUUUUCAUAAUCAUCCAAACAGUGGAGUUUUAAUCCACUUCUUCAAUUUUAAUGCAAUGUGUUAUAUUUGAAGUUAUUAUCCAACUGUAGAAUAUUAUUGUGAUGAUAUUAUAAACUUUGAAAAGAAUCAAGCGUUAAACAAUUGUGUUCACACCUGCCUGAGUUCUUCACAGCGCUUAGAUGGCAUUCUUGGACCAUGGCGCAAGAGGGCCAUAGCUGCUGUUCGCAACUGUAAAGGUGAGACACCUGCUUCCACAGUGUUCACCUCAGAGGUGGAUAAUUGAGAUGCAACUUGGGCUUCUCUUGAAUCAACUACUUUUUGAACAAACAGAGGAAUUCCAAACUCUGCAGCAAUCUUUUUCUUAUACUUUUCGGCAGCAGAAUGAGCAACUUCAUGACAGUCCACACAAAGUAGGACAAUAUCAUGAGAACGAUGGCUUUUCAAAUGCUCAGGAAAAUGCAUUCUGUAACAUGAGGGUAUUAUACGGUAGCGUAAAUAGUGAUUCCUUUCACCACAGCCAACACAUAUAUUUUUCUUACUUUGCACAUAGAAGUCAUUAUCUUCAUCUUCUGGACGACCUUUGGGUUCAAAAAGAAGCAUUAUGGCAAGUGGGUUGUCAUCAACAAGUUUUGCAAGGCCUCGACGAACAUACCUGCAAUAAGUGGAUUGUGAUGUAAAUCAAGCAUGCCAAAUACAACACAUUUGCAACUUAUACAAAGGUGAAAUACAAGUUUACUGACCAUUCAAGCUUUCUGCGAUCACAAUAACAAAGCAAUCGACCAUCACUUGCAAAAAUCCUACAGUUAUGAUAAACUGGUGAUUUGCAGGAAAAUUUUUUAACAAACAGCUCUCGAGAAGCCUUCUGACCAACUUGCUUUGAAUUUUUAAUUCCAUUUUGCUUGGAAACCAAUCUAUUUGUCAGUUUCAAGUUGGUUUUAGACAAUAUAGCAUAAUUAAAAACAGACAAUGGGCAACUCCCAUCAGGACCAAGAUGCUUCUGCAGAAUCUCAAGAAAAACAUCAUCCAGUUUGCCCAUCUUGUCUUGGAACAAAUAAUUAAAAUCUUCCAAAUGACUGCAAACCACAGGGGAUGGAGAUGGGAGGAUAGAAGAGGAACUCAACGAAUCUACAUUUAGAUCAGCUUGAGAUAUGAGGGUGCAUAUUUCUUUUUGAGUUGUUGGAACUUUAUCUGCAAGAGCAAUAAUAGCCUGAUCUGACAAUACAUAUCGCAAGCUCUCAUCAUGAACACGGGCCUGAAAGUAAGAUAUGGAAACUACAAGCAGUUAGCAGAGUUUUAAAAGCACCCUUAUUAAAUAUCAAGAAAUGGCUUAGAAAGCUCCUCUGGGCUUUUCUCAUUGUUUCUGCUGACUUAAAAGAUUCCAUUCUGAGGAUUUAAAAAAGAAACAUUUAUUUUUGGCUGUCAAAGAAGAAAAAAGGCAGAGGAAAAAAAUGAAGAAAAAAAGCAGAAAAAGAAGAAGCAUUUGGAUUCAAUAGAUUCCAUGUACAUGUCAACCAGGAUUCUUCAUACAUACUAAGAAUCCUUAAUGAAAAUACAUGCAAUUUAGAAGAAGAGAAACUUAAAAGUUUAAGAAGCCCUAUCAUUAUUUUCUCUUUGUUUUUUUUUUUUUUUGUUUUUUUUAAUAUUGAAUCCGCCAUGAAAAUAUGUGCAAGUUAUAAGAAUAGAAACUUACUUUAAAAGUUUAAGAAGCCCUAUUAUCCAAAAUUAUUUCUGUGUUGUUCACUGCUGGAGUUUCCCAUUUGAUAAAUAGAAAUAAUUAUAUUUCUCAUGCAGUAAUAAAGCUAUUGGAAACUAGCUUUGGGAUUAGUCAUCACUAACCAUUAAAUCUCUCCAAGUGCAUAGUCGUCUCACAAGAUCCUGAAACUGAAUUUAGAAAAAAAGAAAAAAACCACUGAAAUAUUUUAUACAUUUCAUAACUGCUAGCUUCUUCUGAUCGCUAAGAAACAUCCAUGGAAAGGGACACACCUGGAGGUCACAAGCUUUUGAUGAAAUACCUCCUUGGCCAUUUAAAUGACGGGAAAUUAUUGAUGAUGCAGCAGACUCUCCUGGUGAUAUUUCAAUUUCUUUGAUGUAGAGUUGCAAACAGACUGUGUUCGACCGCCGACUAGCCUCGAGAACAAAACGUAAUUUGUCAUCGGGGCAACAUGAAUUUUCUGAUACAUUAAUAUCUUUAGAAUUUCAAUAUUGUGAAGAAUAUUAAUAAGGUAUUAAGGGUUUAUCAGUUGGAAAUUAUGGGUAAGCACGGGAUUAUACCAAAUCAUCCAAGCACUAAUUUUAAUCUAUGCAAACAGUAUAACAAAAACUGGUUACAGUUUAAUGAAUGAACUUGUAUGAAACAACUACCAGGCAGGUGAGGGAAGAAAUCGUCUCCUUGAUAAACAAAUUCAACCUGGACCAGGAUAUUUUUUAUGUGAUCUCAUUUACAUGAAUUCCAAGAUUGACUACUUACACUUAUAAUCAUAUAGCAAAAAUGGGGCAAUAAUCCAAUAGCUGGCUCCUUCUCGGUUUCUUCUGAUCUUUGGAUGGGGGACAUUGUCCCUUAGCAGUGUCUUUUUCACUCUUCACAUUACUUUUCAUCAAGUUGUGUAAGUAAAAAUUAUUAAGUUCCUAAAGAAAGGUGAAACAUAUGUACAGAAGAAAUCCUUAAGAGCAGGAGCCAUAAUUUCAAAGGAAAAUAUAUGAAUAAAAAUAAAUACUAGAAUCCCAACCAUUUGGGAAAACACAUUAUGGGUUGAUGAUUGAUCUAUCAAAGUAUGAAAUUGUGUUGAAAUCCACCAAUGUUGAUAAUUAAAAUCAAACAAUCAGCACUUAUUUUAUAAUUUAAAAAAAAAACUUUUUCUUCUGUUAGAAACUUCUUUCAUGAAACAUAGCAUUGAAUAUUCUAAACCAUUUGUGAGUGAUUUAGGUAGAUUGGCAAUUCCAGGUAAAAAAAUUCUUAAGUAUACUCCCAGCUCAGGUCUUUUGAAUCCAUCCCUGGACUACUUGCUUAAUUGAAAUCAAGGUUGUUUGAAAGCUUUUAGAGGCAAAGGUAAGUGGUUGAGGGUGGAUGAACAUGAAUGAAUCAACCAGGUUUUCAAACUAUGGUUGCCUUGAUUAUUUGCAAUAGAAGUUAAUUGGGAUUCAAUGGGUGACCCUUUUUUUGGCCAAGUAUUUUUGUGCUCUGUUUUUAAGAGAAACAUAGUUGUCAUCAUACACCACCCCAUUGUGCUCCUCUUUCAUUCCAAAUUGAGAGUGUUUGUUUCCCAAGAAAAUCAACCCUAUUUUGAGUUAUAAAACCGCUUCUCAUUGGAUUUUCUCACAAAAUAUACGCUGAUUCAAUUGGCUUAUCUUUCCCAUCUCUUAUUGAUAUCUUUGUAUUGGGGUAAAAAGUCAUUUCCUUCUUGAUUGGGCUUUCAAUGAGUGGUUGAGAUCAAGCUUGGUGUUGAUUCCCUAGUGUGUUCUUGAAGAAGAAGGUGCAUAGCUAAAGGUGGAAGGUACUAUUCAAGUAGUUCAAGAGAAAAUUUGUGGAUUUGAGCUAGGUCAAUCCUUAUAUUCAGUUGAUUUUCUUCAUAGUAGAUGUUUUCACUCACUAUUAAGCCUAUGGUUUUUUUUAUCUCUUCAGAGAUUUUCUAUAUUAAAUCUUGGUGUCAUUGUCUCUUUCUCUUUAUUUAUUCAUUUGUUUAUUUCUAUUAGUCUAUCUUUGAUAGUGAAAUUUACACUGGUGUAAUGAGUUGAUUGGUUGAGGGUAUGGGCUGAAAUUUGAUCAUUUUACCCUACGAAAGUUAUGAUAUAAUUUCUGUUUUGGCUAUUGAGUUAAUGGAUAUUUGGAUAUGUGAUUGGUGUAGUUGAAAAUUUGUGUAAAUCUUGAUUGGGUUAAUUCGUUUCCAUGUGAAUUGGAUUGAUUACUUAUUGGGAGAGUGUUGGUGCAUCCAUUCAUGCAUGUGUUUUUGAUUGUCUGUUGAAAAGAUUGAAAAAGAAAAAAAAAUCAGGGUAAUGAUUAGCCUCGGUUGGGAACCAUCUCAAAUUUGUAAAAACACCUAUUCAACCCACCCAUUCAUAGCUGAGAUUUGUCCACACCAUUCUCCCAUACAAAGUUUUUUCCAAAUUGCAGAAUGUUUGGUUAAAGCCAAAAUUAAAUUUUACUAAAUUUUCAGAAUGUCAAAACCAAAAUUUUCCCAUCAAAAUCUCUCCUGAGAAUGAGAAGGAAAAUCCUGAUGACUAGAAUUAUAAUGAUUAAAGAUUUUGCUAUAACGAAAUGAACACAAAUUUUCAGGGUCUUAUCUGUUCAUUCAGUGUCUCCACUUGCAUGCAAAUAAGACAAUGAUAAAGUGGCUUACAAGAAAUAAGAAUACAAGAGAGAAGGCAUACCAGAAUCAUGUUGCCUGAGCUCAGCAAUUAAACAAUUUGCAAUAUACAACAGAUAGUGUGCAUCAGUCUGAGCAUAUUCUAGCAUUUCUACUGACAGUGGACGUUGUCUCCAAUCUUCACGCUACAAUUCAGAAGAAGAAUAAUUAGCAAACUUUGGUCUGCCAAAAGCAAGGAGAUGCACAACAGCAAGACAGUGUCGACCCAAACCUGUAACAAUUUGUUUGUUGCUACUCCACAAUACGUUUCAAGUAAGUAAGCAAGUGAUUUUUGUGGUUUUGACAACACCUCACACGCCUGCCUCAGAAUAGAAUAACAAUCAACUUGGUAGAAACUAGUCAUUCAACACAAUGGUAAUGAUAAGUAAGAAAAUUCCAGUAGAAAAUCAGUACACUGAAAAAUCACCUUUGCAGUAUCAAAUAAGUUAACAACAUAUAUAUGGAAGUCUCUCUGCAGCCACAAAACAUCAUUAUCAGCACCAUGGAACACCUGCAUCCGAAAAUAUUCUACCAACUAUUACUGCAUCACUAAAGUGAUUAAAAAAAUAAAACUCAUCAAUGUUAUUAAGAAAGAGCUCUUGUCUUAGCAAUCAUUCAGCUAAGUUAAAUUGAGUUUCCAGUUUCAUACACUCCACUCUGCAGCAGCAAGGAAUGUGUAACUCUGUCUUGUUAGGAACCAAACAGAAAUCAGACAAAAGCUAUGACCUUAAUAUGCAACACACAGAUUACCUUGCAAAUACUAGGAUUAGCAAAGACGGGUUGAAGAACAUCCAAUGUAUCAUGCAGAGCAAUUGUGUCUACCAAAUAAUCUUCAUUCUGAGUAGAAAUCUGCUCAAAUCUCAAAACAAAAACAAAAAUGAAUACAUCAGUAAUGCAAUAUAAAUGCACGCACUGGAUAAAGAACGAUUAGCUUAUAUACAUUACCUGUAUUAGAGCUGUAAACCCUAGAAAUGACCGCAAGCUAUGCUGUUCUGUAUCAACAGCAAAAACCCUCUGUUUACUCAACACAUCAGCAAGCUCCUUUAAUUGCAACUCCGUCUCAACCCAAACAUACGAAUCACUUAUUUUCAAAUCCAUACUUUCAGUACCAAAGCUGAAUUCAAUUUCAGCAUUCUCUAAUAAAGCUGAAAUUUCCGCUUCAUACGGAUGCGAGUGCAAUGAAGUUUCUGACAAAAAAACAUGACAAAUUACUUUUCCUACAUAUUCUCCGCAACCAAACAAAGUGCUAGGAUAUGCAAAACAAAAUUAACUGAAAAAAAAAGCGUACCGCUAUUGGAUUCGCCAAGCUUCAAGUGCUUGAAGGCAGAGUAGGAGUUAUCCGCUAAGACGAGCUUGAAGGAGUACUGAGGCUUCGGUUCAGUAUGCAAAUAGCAUGAACUUUGAGUGCAUUUUCGGUAUCGGCGUUUUCGGUAUUGUGCGGUGAAGAAGAUCGAGAGAACAGCGAAGGAAGCUAUUGCGACUACGAUUUUGAUCUUCUCUUUACUUUCCAUUUUCUGUUAUGGUCUGCUAUCGUUUUUGUGUUUUAGUUUUUAUGGCAGAACCGCCGAAAGGACCAAGACGGUGGUUUGGGGCGGCGGCUCAUUCUAACGCGCGCAUGGACGUACCAGGGUUAUAGUCUGAAAUUGGGCUGGGCCAUGGGCCCAAAUUGGGCCAGACCCAAUUGGCUAUACAAUUUGUAACCGCUUUUCAGUUUUCAAAAGUUGGUUAUACUGCAUAUUGAUUUCCUUUUUCGUUUCGACACCUCUCAAUUCUCCUUGCCGUUUCUCACCAUCCAAACAGGAAAAAUAAAAAUUCCAGUACAAAUGAGAUGAAAUGGCUUCAAUGAAUCCAGAACUGGAAGCAACUGGGGAAGAUUCGAAAGCCAGAGAACCCAAACCCGAAUUUGAGUCUUCAAACACCUUCACAAAAUGUGGCUUGGAGAAGAAAUGUGCAGCACCUGAAACAAAAGUGCCAGGAAAGUGCAGGAAAAUUCUUGUUUGGAUAAGGGAGAAACUAUUUCUGAUAAAAAAAGUUGUAGAGGAUAAAUGGGUACAACUACAGCACAGUUGCGGCCCCGAUUCAGAAAGAACAAAGAUUUACCAAAUUUGGCCAGGGAAAAAUGUACCUGCUUAGUAGUAUUAUUAUUUUCUUGUAGUGACUUGAUCAAUUGUAUUUUCUCGGAAAGCAGUUUCAGUAAUCCGCCGGUAAUUCUCUUUUCAUGAUGUUUUAUAGGUAUUUUUCUUCGGAGGGCGACUCAUCUGUGGCCCAGAUCCAAGAGGAUUGCUCUUGACAACCAGUUCAAUCAUUCUUUCAAGUUGGAUUUUCGCCGUCUACAUUGGAGAUGAUUUGCCAAAUCACUCCACUCUCAUAAUCACUUUCUCCCUGAUUCUAACUUUAGUAGUCAGUACUUCAAAUUGGUGUUUAAUUAACGAUAUGACCCCAAAAAAUAAGGGGUUUGAAGAUGUUUUUCCAAUGUGUAUUUUUGUAUGCAGGUUCUGGGAAACAUGAUCUUGGUCAGCACAAUGGAUCCAGGAAUCAUUCCCAGGAAUGAGCAGGCUUGUGUGGAAGAAGUGGAUACCACAAAGAAGUGCGUGAAGGUUAAUGGGGUGGAGCUCAAACUCAAAUACUGUCGAAUUUGCAAGAUUUUUAGGCCACCAAGGAGCUGUCACUGUGCUGUUUGCGACAACUGUGUCGAGAAAUUCGAUCAUCACUGCCCAUGGAUCGGCCAGUGUGUUGGCCUGGUACACAAUAAUUCUUUUAAGCACAUCAAUUCAACCCUUUUAUAUAUUGAAAUUCAAUAUUGUUUUUCCUUCCAGCGAAACUAUCGAUUCUACCUCAUGUUCAUGGCUUCAGCCUUGUGUUUUUGCAUCUACCUAUUCGCCUUUUCUUGCCGGAGAAUGCACCAAAAACUACAAGACAGUGGCAUUGGGCUGCUGGGAGUGCUUAGAAACUGCCCUGAAACGCUGGCCUUGGCGUCGUUUCUCUUCGCAAGCAUCGGGUUUUUGGGUGGCCUUCUCAGCUUUCACGUCUAUCUCAUCGCCAUCAAUCAGGUUAAAUCUAGUCUCUGAAUAACAUUUCCAACACACUGAUCAUAUGCUUGUAUUUGUAACUUCAGUUUCGUUUCAUUUCCUGUGGAUGAAAUGCAGACAGCGUAUGAGAAUUUCAGGCAGCGAUACUCGGGCACCAGAAUUAAUCCAUUCGAUAAAGGAUUAUUAGGUAAUAUUAAAGAAGUUUUGUUUCCACCAUUUCAAUCUUCUCGAGUAGAUUUUCGAGCUGAAGUGGUUUGAUCUACAUGUAAAUGUGUAGAUGUAUGUGGUAUACAGAUUUGGAAGUAAAUAAUAUUUUCAUGGGAUUUGUAAUUGGCUUAUAGUUUGAUCAGAGUAGAAUACUACUCAUAAUAGUAAUUUUAAGAAAACAUAGUACAACAUAAAAAAUGCUAGGAUAAAAGUCUUUUCGUCUUUUGCUAUAUUUUGUUUAAGCCUAUUUGACGAUAAUUUUAAAAAAUGUUUUUAAUUUUUUUAAUACUUAAAAACCUAAGCAAUGAUUUUAAGAAACGUUUUUAGUCUUUCUAACACUUGAAAAAUAAAAAGUUUCAAAUGUUAAAAAUGCUUCCUAUAAUCACUAACAAAUACAUUCUUAAAGCCCGAUUGAUAACAAUUUUAGAAAACGCUUUUAAUAUUUUUAACACUUCAAAUAUUUUAUCAAUUAAAUAUUAAAAAGAUUUGAAACGUUUUAUAGAAUCAUUAUUAAAUACACUCUUAAAAUAGUAUUAGAAAAAUUAGAAACAUUUUUUAUAAAUUUCAUCCACGAAAUUUCAUUUAUAAAACGAUUCAAUAACAUGGGUUGUGUUGUAACUUUGGGAUGGUUGUUUUGGGUCAACACAAAUUUGAUAUAAUAUUUAGACAAGUAAUUUUGAAGAAUUGUUAAUUUUCUUACUUAGUGUUUAAGUUGGCUUAGCUUCCAACCCAAAUUCAAGCCAUCUUACUAGAAUAUGAUUUAAUAUUUAUAAAUUUAUAUUAUUAUAUAUAAUGAUAUUUUUUUUAUAUUUUUUAAAUUACUUUUAAAAGAAAACUUUUAAUUUUAAUUAUAUUAUAUAUUAUUUUAUUUUUUUAGAAAAAGGGGUAAAUUUAUUUAUUUUCUUUUUUAUUAUCUUAAAAUAUUGUAUUAUUUCUUAUUUAAAAUUUAAUACAAAUGUCAAAAUAAUAUAAUUGAAAAAAAAAUCCAUAAGAAGUUAGUUGGACAUCAAAUGGGUAAAUCUUGAAUAAACCCAUGAAUAUAAAUAUCAAUAUAUUUUAAUAUUAAAGCUCUAUUUGAUUCAAUAAAUUAUCCCAAAAUUUUAAUUUUAAUUUUUUUUUUUUAAAUGGCAUGUUGAAAUCACCAUUUCAAGGCAAAUGAUAUGCACACGUCUUUUAAAAUAAUGAUUUUAAAUAAAAUCCCAAAUAAUCUGCAUGUUGAGAUCUGCUAUAUUUUUUCAAAGCCGCUAGUUUUAAGGUUUCACAAAUAUAUUGGAUGAUGGGAUUGUGGAUGGGCUCAUAGACAGAUCGGUGGGUGGUUAGGGAUCUGGGUUUGAGGUGGGAAUUGAUCUCAAAAAAUUCAUGGAGGCCCAUUAGUAUUUAAUGUGGGACAUUUCUUCGUAUGGGUCUAUGACUUCAUGCUCGUCAUCAAUGCCACUUCCCAACCACAAAUUCUUCAAAUCAAUUUUUGAUAAGACAUACCACCCAAUUAUUUUUACAUAUGAGAUUGAUAAGGGUUUUUAUGGCUAUUGAAUCUAUCUAUCUAUCUAUGUCUAUAAAUGAAAGGAGAGGCAAUCAUGGUUUUAUCAUGAGGCCAUUGGGACUCAACCCUGGAAAAAGGGGUCAUAAUGGGAGAAUGGUAGAUGCAUGGGGAGGGACCCCCUUUUAGCUGUUGUGAUAAUGGUGAGCAGACAUGGGAAAUGGGGAGUUCCAAGAAAUGCCCUUUAACUUGUUGGGAAAGACCCAUGAGCACACACAAGUGAGUGUUGGGUGUUUGGGCAUCAAAUUCAUGGAACAUGGGGCAGCUUUUGGUUGCUUAGACAGAAUAAGAAUAAGAGGUUGUGGUGUUGUAAAGCGACUGCCACUUCCCCCUUGCAAGCAAGCUUCCCUCUGCGCUCGUCUCUUCUCCCAUCCAUCUAACCCUUGCUCCUUUCCCAAUCUACCUUCCUCCUCCAUCCACCUGCUCACUUCCCUCAUAUCAUAUUUAGAUAUUUAUAUAUGUUUGAGAAUUGUUUUUUUUAAAUAGUUUUCUUUUAAGAAUGUUUCAUAAAAUAAAAAUAAAAAUAAUUUUUUAUUUAAAACCAAAAUUAUGAAAUUUUAAGAUAAUAUUUUUUAAUUAUUUUUUUUAUUUUUCUAAAAUUAUUUUUUAAAAUAAUUAUAUAAAUAUAAAGAAUGAUUAAAAAUAAAGUAAUUAAGAUAAAAGUUAUUUUUAAAAUAUAUUUAAAAAUAUAAAAAUUAGUUAAGAAUAUUUCGACUCUUGUUUAUGUUAUUCGGCAAACUUUCGAGUUCAUCCUUUAUCUGUCCCAAGCCAAUAGACCGAUUGGUGCAUAGAAAAUAACCUUCCCAACCAAACAAGGAGCCAAAGCCGGUGACUUGAUAGGUCAAGUAGUAAUGGCAGUCUUCUAUCUAUGGUAGUUAAGCAUGUCCGGCUUUCUAAGUCCUCGUCGGCUAGUAGAAGAAGGGGAUGGGAUAGAGACUUAAGAAAGAGCUCUUAAUAUACCUGAGGCAAAGAAAAGUCAAGAGAAGAGGUGGUAGCUGUACAAGCUAUAUUCUAACAAGUCUUCUAUAGAGAAAGGAAGCCAGGACAAACAACUUAUAUGUAAGUCUAUGCUUAUAAAAUGGUUUCAAAAAUUGUUUCAAAAAUUAUUUUUUGAGAUUCCUAUAAUCUAUACCAAAUAGAGUGACUCUUACACCAUGUUUAAUAUGAUUUUAUAAUGUUUGAUCUUAUUAUAAAAGAUACUUAAGAAAAUAGAAUAUAAUUAAAAUUAAUUAUAAAUUUAUAUACUUUUAAAUUAUUAUUUUUUAUAUAAAAAAUUAAAAUAAGUGAAGUACGAUACAAAUAACAUAUAAAAAUAAUUUAUUAAUUUUAAUUUUAUUUUGUUUUUUCCUAGAAAAAGUUAAAUUGGAUUUUCUUAAAUUGUAAAAUAAAACAGGUCUUUUAAGAUGAAAUUAAAUUAUAAGAUUAUAUAUACUUAUAAAAAGGACAUUUUGGGGCUAAAAACAUUAUAUUAUAAUAAAAUAAAAAAGACAAAUAACUUAAUUCAAUCUCCUGUUUUAUUAUACUCUGAAAUAAUAAAUCCAAAAAUCCAACUCCAAAUUAUAAUUUAAUAAUCAUAAAAUAAUAAUUCACUUAAAUUUUAUUGACUGACAUCUGUUUGCUUAAUCUGAUUAAGCUCUGAACCGACCAAGUGAUAGAUCCAAAUUUGAAAAAAAUAUUUUUAAAAAAUUAUUAUUCAAAAUUUUAUAAUAUUUUUCUUUUUUAAAUCUCGGUAUAAACAGGCUCCUCCGUUACUCUAAAAUCCAAGCGGGUAUGUUUCCAAGGAAAAAAGUAUUUCAUGGCAAGUUAAAUGACGAAAAUACCCUCCUGACACAGUGGGGAUUCCUCUUUUAUUUUUCGAAGAAACAUCGAGUUCAUAACAUGAUGACACGUGUCAGUCUGAGGUGGGGCCCGCGUCAUAUGCAGACUUUUGCAGAAUCCACGUGAGGAAGGGUGGAAGCUGUCGGGGUUCAGCCAAUUGUGGGGUGCCACUUGUUCACCUUCUAGAUCUCAUCACGUGCCCUUGACCAUAUUUUUAGAAGUCUUUCAAUACUUUUAUUUAUUUAUUUAACAGGACUAUUUAUACGUAUGAUUGAUUUUUGAGACCUUCAUUCAGAGUUAUUUACAGAUUUAUGUCGCUUCGGUAUUUGGAGAAGUUGAAGAAAAGGAAGAUUUGAAGAAAUGAAAGAACAGGGAAUCUAGAACCAUAGAUUUUUUUUUUUAAUUAUGAAAAUUUUAAUAAAUAAUCAAUUUGUUUUGAAUUUUCUCAUUUUUCUUUAAGAAAUUAAGAAUUUCUAAAAUAAAUGUUAACCAAAACUAUCUACGAGCAUAAAAUAAAGAAAAACAUAAGAUUUUUAAAAUCGUUCAACGAUCAAUGUAAUUGUUAUGUCCAUAAAAUACACUUAUACUUAACAAUCUGAUAAUUAAAAGAAAAAUGAGUACAAUAAUAAAACUCUAAAAAAAUCAUCUUAAUUGUAAUUGCGCUUUCUAUAACAAAAAAAAAACCCUAAAAAUAUAAUAAGAUUAAUAUAAGAUGGGGAAACUCGUCAUUCAUCAUAUAAAAAAACUCGAUCCGAACAUCUAAAUGAAGUAAUCGUAGCAAUAAAAAUAAAAAUUAAAAAAUUAAAAGUUUAUUUGGUAUUUAAGAAAAAAAAAAUAUUAUAACAAGAUUAGUAUGUGAAAGAUCAAGACUUUGACUCCAUGAGGGUUAGCAAAUUGCAGAGCCAUAUUGUUAAGUUGAAUGAAUUGACUAACACUUUGAGAUUGUAUAUAUAAUAAAUCCAAUUAGUUGUAAAAGUCAACAAAAUAAUUAGGCAUCUUAGUCAUGUGUAGGGUGGAAGAUCACCUAAUUUUAUACGAAUACAGCAGCUGAUUGCGGAAGAUUCAAGAAGCUGCAGCCCAAGCCAGAUGGCACCAUUCUCAUGAUCUCAAGCUUAGGUAGUCUCAACUCCUAUCACCAUUGGCCCAUGUGGUGACCCUCUGAAAAUUUGUAAAAUUUUAGAGAGUAUUGAAGGGAUAGAUACCUAUCAAAAGAUACUAUCGAUCUGUUCACAUCAGGUGAAUAGGUACAUAUAUUUUUUUUGUGAGGUUUGAGCAAAAAUAAUAUAUUUAUAAAAAAAAUCAAUGAAAUAGAUCUCUUUUCAAAAUAAUUUUUGAUAAGAUCGUAACUAGUAAUUACAUAUUUAAAUAUUUUUAAACAUAAAAUUAUAAUUAGUGAUUAUAAUUUUAAAUUUAUCUUUAAAUUGUAAUCAUUUUUAAGUGAAAUUAGAAUGGAACGGGUCGUUAAGGUUUUGAUUUUAUUUUUUAAAUUUAAAAUUAUAGUUACAUGUGAACUUCAUCCUAUUGUUUGAACAUUUUAUAUAACAGUUUAAUUUUUUUUGUUCAUUUUUUAUAGAGGAGAUUGAGAGUUUGAUAGGUAUCAAAUUAGUACCUUAGCUAUUGUUUGAUAACUGUUUUCAAAAACAGUUAUGAAGACUUUGAUGUUUUAUAAAAUAAAAGUUUGUUUAGAAACCUAAAAUAUUUUAAAUCUAUUUUUAAAUUUAUUUUAAAAAUAAUUUUUAUAUAUAGUGUUUUAUUUUUAAUCAUUAUAAAUAUUUGUAUAAUUAUUUUUUAAAAUAACUAUAAGAAAAUAGUGAAAACCAUAUAAAACAAUUAAAAAAUGUUUUUUGAAAACAUAAUUUUUUUGUUAUCAAACAAGUUUUUCAAAUUUUUUAUUUUGAACAACAUAAAACUGUCUUAAAAAAUAGUUGUCAAAUAAAUCCUUAACUUUUUUUUUUUUUUUUCCAAUUUGUAGGUAGUUGGUUUUUGAAGAAAAUUAUAAUUUAUACAUAGAAUAUCAAACUUUUAUUUAUUUAUUUUAUUUAUUUAUCUUUUUAUUGAAUAAGGGUACUUGGUAUUGGUUUGUGGUAUGGUUUCAUUGCUAACCAAAAGUUUCUUUCCCAAAACAUCUCUUCAAUUUUUAGGGUUAUUUUUGUGCCAUGACAUCACCAAGCUCUACUUCUUAAGAGAAUAUCAUAAUAAUCACCAAAUACUUUUUAUUUUUUUUAGUAAAUAAAAAAUUACCAAUGACCCAUUCAAACACACUCUUGAUGGAAUUAUAAAUGAUUGAAAAAUACAAAAUAUUAUUAAUGAAUGCAUCACACUUUCCAAAUAGAGGUCAAUCUUUGAAAUUAAUAACAAUUUUUGGUCAUAGUGAAUGUCACCAUCCAAUUUUAUUGGGGUAUGUGUAAAAUAAGAAUAGGACCCAUGAUACCAAAAAUAUGAUGAAGUAUUAAAAAGAAAUUGACAAAAAAUAUGAAUAGUAUGAUUAAAUUAUAGAAAAAUAUGAUUAAAAUACGAAAAAUAUAUAUAUUGUCUUUUGUUAUCCUUAAAAUGUUUAAUUGAAAAUAUACUUUUUUAUAAGUAAAUAAAUUUGAUGAGAUGAAAGUUAAUUACCCUUUUAGAAACUUAAAUGAAAUAAACUUUCAAUAAUGCUUGUAUAAAUAUACAAUAUUGUAACCUAAUGUUUCCCAUAAAAAUCUGUAUAAAUAGUCAUAAAUUUAUUUCUACACGUGUCAUCACCUCAUCUAGGAAGCAUAUAUUCUUCAUGAAACCGUCCCAUAAUGGGGACAAAGUCUCUCCAAGCGUUAACGUUUAAAAACUGUCCCUAGGGGGCAUUUACGUCAUUGCGGCAAACUGUUACCGAAAAAUAUUUAAUAAAGGGCGGUCCGGUUAGGGGCAGUUUGGUAAUUGUGCGUAGAUGAAGAGGACAGUUAGUGGGUCUUCUCACUUCUGUUCGACGUCCCUUGCCUGCAAAGUAGAAAGGAGAGUUGAUUUCUAGAGAGAGAAAGAGAGGGAGUCUUGUAGAGAGAGAGAGAGAGAGAGGAAGGAGAACCAGCCAAAGCAAAGGAUAAAAGGGAAGGAGCGAAUCAGAAGCAAGAGAAGAGAGGGGGCACAGGAGCAGCAGCAUCAUCAUCAUCUCUCUGUUCUGAUACUUUCUCUCUCUUCUUUGCCUCAAAUCUUGUACCAGAGCUCGUUCAUAAAUUGGAUUGUCGGUGCCACAAUUUCUAGACACUUGGGGGGUUCGUUUGUCUGCUUCUGGGUCUGGGUCUCUUGAGCUUGAUUUCCUCUGUGGUUUGGGUAUGGGUUUUUCUCCAGAAAGCUAUUGACGUGUGGGAGAAGAAAAUUGGAGUGAAGAUGUCUCUGAAGAGCAGAGGAGAGCUGCCUUCAAGAAGUGUUAUCUCCCAGAAAUGGACCCUCUUACUUUGCGUAGGUUGCUUCUGUGCUGGAAUGUUCUUCACUAAUAGGUAAAACGAUUUUAUUUUGAAUAUAUUUUUUUGAAUUUUCACUUUUCUUUUGAUGGUAUUUGCUUGUGGGGUUUGCCUAAUUUGUUGAUUUAUGCAUUUUUGAGAUUUGGGUGCAAGCCAUUUUUGUCAAUCUUAGUCCACUGACGAAUGCCUGUUUUAUUGAUUUUUUUUUUUAAAUUCAAUAUUCAUAUUUUGCUGAUUCCUAUUUGUUUCAAUAAUAACAGUGUUGUUUUAGGAUGGAGAUUUAUUUAUUUCAUUGAGCUGGGUGGUUUUGAAUUUUCAAAGAUUUUGAUGCUUUUUGUGGUGGUGAAUUGUGCUUCUAUUUGUAGUUUGCUCCUUUGAUCGUAAAGUUGGGAUGGAUCUGUAUGGGGUUUCUGUUUGGAUGCAAGCCAUAUAAUUUUGAUUUUAGUUUUUAGAUUGGAGGAAACUCUAGUUUGAGUACCUCUGCACAUGUGCCUGUCAUUCCCAUCAUCAUUUAUUGAUGGUUUAUCUCUACUUCCAUUAAUACCCAACUUUUUUUUUUUUAAAAGAAAAAGAAAAAAGAAAAAUAUUUUUGUUUGGAUUGGGAUUUGAAUGUGGUCUGUCUGUUAGAUCUGUAGGCAUGGAAAGGUUCCAUUCCUCAUUGAAGGCCUCUGACAUUUAUAAUAUUAAAAAUUAAAAAUUCUUGUAGCUGUAAUUGCAAGUCCUUGAUGAGAAUGUGGUGGAUACCCUAGACUUAUAAUAUUUAAUUUUUAUAUUGAGGUUCUUGAAUUCUAUUCACAAUUUGACAUAGAAGACCUUGGAUUUUAAAAAUCCCAUGAUCUAUUCUGCAUUUCUUGAGCCCAUUGCUUACUGUUAUUCACCAGUUUCUAUUUCAAGUUCUUAAAGCCUUCCUUACUUACCUUAAGAAAUAGUCUUUUACCUGUGGAAAUGCUUUUCCUAAUUUGAAUUCUUAUAGGAUUAGAAAAUCUCAUUACUAAAGCAGCUAGUUCUUGGGAUAUGAUGCCAUUCUAAUGAAUGAAAAAAUUUGUCAUAGGAUGUGGGCUGUCCCUGAAUCUAAAGGCAUCACAAGGACAACUGCCGUAGAAGCUGAAAAGUUGAAGCUAGUUUCCGAGGGUUGUGAUCCAAAAACUGUGAGUCUCUCUCACAUUUCAUUAAGUUGAUUUCAUUUAUUGUAAUUCUUUAUUUUAUAAUCGUUGUCUGAUUCCAUCUGACUGGGUGCCUUUAGUUGCAGCAGAAGUUUGUGAAGCGUGACUCUAAGGACAUUAUUGGGGAAGUUCAUAAAACUCAUCAUGCUAUACAGUAAGUCUUUGUUAUGCUUAUAUAUUUACUAAUAUAUCGUACUUCAUUUGAUUUUGAAUUAUCCUGAAUAUGAAUCAUAUAACCUUAUUGCAUGUAGGACUUUGGAUAAAACUAUUUCCAAUUUAGAGAUGGAAUUAGCUGCUGCCAGAGCUGCACAAGAAUCUAUGGUAAACGGUUCUCCAAUAUCAGAAGACUUGCAGAAGACUGAAUCAUCAGGGAGAAAAAGAUAUCUAAUGGUUGUAGGAAUCAAUACAGCUUUUAGCAGCCGGAAACGAAGAGAUUCAGUUCGUGCUACGUGGAUGCCACAAGGUUCAUGGAUGUUUCUUUGCUUUCUAUUCCUGGAGUUCUUUUUUCUUAUUCAUAUCUUAUUUUAGCUUCUUAUUGGAUGAUGUCUUACGAUUGUUUCUUCUGGAACACAUGGAAAAUAGGUGAAAAAAGGAAGAAGCUGGAGGAAGAGAAGGGCAUUAUCAUUCGCUUUGUCAUUGGUCAUAGGUGAGUGGUUAAUUCUCUUCCCAAACUACUGGAUAAGUAAAUGCCUAUAUUUUACUUGACUAUCCUGUUCUUUGCGUGACAUGCUAAGCCUCUUCUCUAAUAUAUUACUAAGAGCCUUAUUUUUAAAUUUUAUUUAUUUAUUGGAGAAGAUAGGCACAAAAUAACAACUCCUUGAAGAUUAAGAUUGAAGUCUCAAAACUUCUAACGUUCCAUUAUUUCUGAAUUUUAUCUUAGCUGAUGGUAUGCUAUAUUUAGGACUGUCUUUUUAUGCACCUUUUCGGACUGUUGUAUUUAAUAGCUUAGUUCUUAUUACAAUAGGGCAUCACCUGAAACUUAUGCUGUUUUUACCUGUGCCUACAUAAUGCCUUGUGUUACCAACAACUAAUAGAUCAUUUGAAUAACAUGAAUAUGAGAUGAUAAGUUUAUUGCAUACUAUUAAUCAACCUUUUGUUUUCAUCACUCAGUGCCACAUCAGGGGGUAUACUGGACAGAGCUAUCGAAGCAGAGGACAAAAAACAUGGAGACUUCUUGAGGCUGGUAAUGGUUUUGUAUCUUCUUCUGUGACUUGCUUUCUGUAUUCUUCUGUAUGCUUGAUGCCUCCAAGGAACAUCUUCAUUACCUAUAAUUAUAAAGUUAAUUUGCCCCACAUGUCUGUGUUACUGUGUGAGCAGGAACAUGUUGAAGGUUACCUCGAACUGUCUGCCAAGACAAAGAUAUAUUUUGCUACUGCUGUUGCUUUGUGGGAUGCAGAGUUCUACAUUAAAGUUGAUGAUGAUGUCCAUGUAAAUAUAGGUAUCUAAUAUGUUAAUCUCUAUUAUGAUUUCUUUUGUGGGUGUCAUCCAUAAUAAUCUGAAAAGUCUUAUAAUUUAGUUUUCCUUUCUUAUUUUAGAUAUGAAAGUCGAUAGGAAGUGUUAAGGACAAUAAUUCAGUUUGUUAUGAAUAAUUCGGUUUAUUAUGAAUAAUUCCUCCUCUGAAUCCACAUUCUCCCAAGCCUCUAAGGCCCAUGUCUGAUGAUUGCUAUGGGAUCUUUCUCUUGUAAUUUGGCAAAUGUGGAUGUGUUUUGAAAGUAACAUCAGUAGUUUGUUGUUUAUAAUUUAUAGUUCUUUGUUAAAUUGAGCCCAACUUAUUUCAAAUUGUUGCAGCAACACUCGGAGAAACUUUAGUUAGACACAGAAAAAAACCUCGGGUGUAUAUUGGAUGCAUGAAAUCUGGUCCAGUCCUUGCUCAGAAGUAAGUGACUUUCUUUAGAUUGUUUUGGUUACGUGAAACUGUUUAGUUCUUAGUUUCUUAUUUGUCCAUAUUUUUGUAACAGGGGAGUGAGAUACCAUGAACCCGAGUAUUGGAAAUUUGGUGAGGCAGGAAACAAAUAUUUCCGUCACGCUACAGGACAGCUAUAUGCCAUUUCAAAAGAUUUGGCUAGAUAUAUAUCAAUAAACCAGUAAGUUUUCACUUACCAUUUUCAAGGGGUAAAAAAGGAAUCAGCAAAUUCUUGGAUUGAUGUAUUUCAUAAUAUCCUCUUCCACUUUUUAUGGUUAUUUUGUACAUGAUUAUUGCAGGCAUGUUCUUCACAAGUAUGCUAAUGAGGACGUUUCACUGGGUUCUUGGUUUAUUGGUCUUGAUGCGGAACAUAUUGAUGAUCGGAGAUUAUGUUGUGGCACCCCACCUGGUAAACUUUUAAAACUAUUGAAAAUUUGAAGUUGAACUGUCCUCCCAGUAUAGUGUUAUUGCUUCAAGAAAAUGCGUAUUUCUGCAACUGUUUCUCGGUUCAUUUGGUUGGCUUGUGUAAGAUGUAAUUACCAUCUUGCUGAAGAAUGCUGGUUGACAUGUCAUAGACCAGCAGAGGACAAGCCUCUAUCAUUUAAAUUCUUCAUCACUGAAGAGAGGUACAUCAUACCUGAAAUGAAUUGACUGGAUAACCACAAUUGUAUAAGUUUUUAAAAUUGUUUUUGGAAAGGUAAAAGGAAUCUAUCAAAUACAGCUUGAAAACAAAAUAUUUAUUUAUGGAACUAAUUAAGGAUCAACCAAGCUACUAAAAAAUUUCAUAGUAUAUAUACCCAGAUGGGACCUUUUGGUUGGUGGACGGCAAACCUAAUAUAAAUCUUGACCUUGAAAUUGGCAUUUUGGCUAGAUGAUCCUUCACUCUGUGGUAUGGAAAGAGGCAAGACGAGCCUUGCAUUUUUUUAUUUUGGGCCACAAUAGGAAGAUGCAAGAAUAUAAUAAACAAAAUUAUUUGGAACACGUGUACAAGCUAUGGGAAAGAUUUGCAUGACAAGCUGUUGACAACAAUCAACAAUUAUACACAUCUGUGAAAUUUUAAUUGAAACUUGUUACUGCAGAUUGUGAGUGGAAGGCCCAGGCAGGCAAUGCAUGUGUUGCUUCAUUUGAUUGGAGCUGCAGUGGAAUUUGCAGGUCAUCUGAGAGGAUUAAGGAGGUCCAUCGACGUUGUGGGGAAGGUGAGAAUGCUUUGUGGAAUGCUGUCUUUUAAGGGGCAACCUGCGGUUCUUCCAAACUCAGGAAGGGCGAUAAGAUAAGCUUUUGCAUAAAAUACAGGCAUACAAGGCUUUUUUGUGUUUUAUGUAAGAGUACACAGAAUACAUGUUGUGUCACACAACUUCCAGAAAGAAAGGGAGAGAGAGAGAGAGAGAGAGGGAGAGGGGAGAGAGAAGAGAGAGAGGGUCCUUGCUAAGUGGUCAAUGUCCUACUCCAUUUUAGUGUAGGAUACUGACUGCAAUAGCUACUUGAAAAGGAAGCAGGAGGCUGAGACCACCCGUUCUUUACAAAGCUUUGGAAGGAUUGUAAGUCACAGUUCAUGGCUAAUGAGCAUAUAAUAAGUACAAAUAUCUGUGGUGUGCUUUUGCCACCCUUUUCUUCAUAAAGUUGUGGGUUGUUGUUUUGCUUGUGAGGUGAUGACCAGGUUUCUCUCUUCUAUGAUCUCUUUCCUAAGUUGACUUCCAAUGGGACUCAAUGAUUUGUAUAAUUCAGAAAUCAGUCAUAUUAUCAGAUUUUAGUAUUUGUUAAGACUUUUAAAACCAUAUUGUACAGGUAUCACUAGAACCAGCAAAACCCCAGAGAAAUUACUUCAUUAAACCCAUCAUUUUAAUUCUUUAAAAAAACCCUAUAGCUGGUUUGUUGGAAAAAUGGUGAUUUUUCAUGUGAAAUAGGCUAUAUUCAGACAGUAUAGUAAGCAAAGAAAGAUUAGGUUAAAAUCAAAAGAAAAACAAAAUCUAAUGAAAGGGACAGCUUAACUUGACCAACCUUUUUAGAGUCAAGGGCACUCAAGUAGAUCAGUACCCCACUUCUAGGCUGAUCCUACUUCAAAUGCCAGAUCUGUAAUUUGAUUCCCCAUGUUUUAAAAAUAGUAAAUUCAACAUAAAGUUGGAAACUCCCUUUCCUCUUUGGGUGAUGUAGUCACCAACCUUAUGCCUGAAACCAACUCCUAUUUGACAGUUCCUCCUACAAUAUGAAAGGGAACCAAAUUCCAUCUAGUGUUUGGAUGGGUAGAUAAAAUCUAUUUAGAGGAGGUUCACUUUGAUCCUUGUGAAAUCAUUUUCAAACCAGAAACUUGUUUUCUACCAGCAAUAUUACAACUGACUGCUACUUUAAUGGUGAAAGUUCCAAGUUAACAACAGCUUCAAUUGUCAUUCAUUUCAAAAUCAAAGUUGUUCCCAAUGUUUUCACCUAGAGGAACCAAACAGAGGGAAUGCACCACUCCAGACUCAACUAACAUACACAAAAAUUGGAGUCUAAGCCACAUAACUUUCCAACUGGCCUCUGGUUUGGUAUAGCAGACAUACUUGAAUGAUAAGCCUCUGCAGUAAAGUGUAAGAAACAGUGGACAGCCUCUUGUUCUCGAGGUUGUACCUUCUGGGCAAAAUUAUUCUUCUUAAAAGAGGAUUCAGCAGUUCCCAACCUCAGUAUUAAAUCUGAUACUCCUGCAAGUACUGAACUUAAUUGCAGAGUAUGCCAUUGGAAACCAGGAUGAUUUUAAUAGGGACAUAGGAAUAAUGUUAAUUACACUUCAAAUGGUUGCUGAGACAAUCCAAAACAAGAAAAGAGAAGAAAACAAAAAUUUUCCUGUUCUGUUUUCUGCAGUUCUGGUUUCCAAAAAGUAAAAUGCUCAAACAACUAAACCCAAGUGCCUCCCUUGUCCUUAAUAAUGAGAUUGGAAGUGUUGUUCCACUUUUCUUAGCAGAAAAAUGGAGUUGGCAGGUUCAAAAGCUGAAACCAAAUCAAAAGUUGGGUUGGGAAAUCAAGCAAAGAAAUCAAGUUUUCUCAAGAUUUAUGGACCAUGAACUACCAAAUGUCCAAACACCAACAUUCAUACAUCUCUACAAAAUGUUAGUCCCAAACAUGGUAAAUAGCUACAACAGUUACACUGACAUCUUCUGCACAUAUGUCCAAAACCCCCCAAAGUAGAACAAAAUUGAAUAGUAAGAAAGCUCUUCGCAGCUUCAACUUUCAACUUUUCAUAAUUUCAAGUUUGAAAGCAAAUUAUAAAGCAAACAGUGAACAAAAGUAGAGCCCAAAAAAUGUGCCUGCAAAACACAUGGACUAGCUUUUUAGAGUUAUAUCCAAGCUGUGGGCUGCAUAGAUAGUCUUUGCUUAUCUCCUUUGUAGAGUUCUUGUCCUGUGUGGAAGUUUGAUAACCUGAAACAUGAAGCAUUCCUACAGACUCCAUAGUUUCCUAAUUGUAUCCUGAAAAGUGAUUAGAGAUAUGUAUGUAAUGUAACAACAAUGACUAAUGCACCAUAACAGAAGGGUUACAGGAAAGUAGGCAGAAAGAUUUGGCAAACCCUUAUUAAGAAUCUUCCUAAAAAUCUUGCCACUGUUACUAGGAGGCAAUAUAAGUCAUUUCGUCAAGAUUUAGUUUAAGAAAUAUACCAACAAACACGAGAGGGACUACCUUUGAAUCCAUUGAUGGGACAGAGAAAGGUACAAAAGAUGAUCAAAAGCAAUGACACGUGAUAUUGGCACGGCUCAAUCAAAAACCAGAACUCAAAAAGAUUGCGAGCACUGCUUUCUUAUUGAACCGCACCAAUAUCCCGUAAUACCAAUUCGCGGAACUCGAAUCCAAUCAUGAUGUUUGGCUUCAACGUCUCCAUACCUUUUUUGCAUCUGUUAACAGAAGAAACCCAGUAGCCAGACAAGAAG
rnacentral:lncRNA from 1 species